rnacentral:lncRNA from 1 species
AUGAGGAUGCUAGUACAGAUACAGAUAUUAGCUCACUCAGGUUAUCCAUUCCAAGAGAACUUCAAGAUGGGAUUGCAAAAUUGCUGGAAGAACUUGAUCUUGAGGGGCAGGUGCUUAAACUUUGUAGUUCAUUGUUGCCUUCUAUAACUAUCAGAAGAGAAGCUAAUGUUUCAAAGGAUAGGCAAAUUAUUCUGGGCAAUGACAAGGUGCUUUCGUAUGGAGUUGAUCUCUUGCAAUUGAAGAAGGCAUAUAAAAGUGGUUCACUGGACCUGAAGAUAAAGGCUGAUUAUUCGAAUGCCAGAGAACUUAAAUCACAUUUAGCCAGUGGCUCUCUUGUCAAAUCCCUGCUUAGUGUCAGUAGUCGAGGCCGGCUUGCUGUUGGAGAAGGUGACAAAGUUGCUAUAUUUGAUGUUGGGCAGUUAAUAGGACAAGCCACAAUUCAACCUGUGACAGCUGACAAGACCAAUGUUAAACCUCUCUCAAGGAACAUUGUUCGCUUUGAAAUUGUUCAUCUUGCAUUCAAUUCAAUUGUAGAGAACUACCUCACUGUAGCAGGCUAUGAAGAUUGCCAGGUUCUCACUUUGAACCCUCGUGGUGAGGUGACUGAUCGUCUUGCCAUCGAACUUGCUCUGCAAGGUGCAUACAUUCGGCGGGUAGAUUGGGUUCCAGGAUCUCCAGUUCAGUUAAUGGUGGUUACUAACAAGUUCGUCAAGAUAUAUGAUCUCUCUCAGGACAAUAUCAGUCCCCUGCACUACUUCACACUGCCAGAUGACAUGAUUGUGGAUGCAACUCUUGUUAUAGCUUCUCGAGGAAAGAUGUUCCUUAUUGUUCUUUCCGAAUGUGGAAGCUUAUACAGAUUAGAAUUGUCUGUAGAAGGUAAUGUGGGGGCCACUCCAUUGAAGGAAAUCAUUCAGUUUAAUGACAGAGAAAUCCAUGCAAAGGGAUUGUCCUUGUACUUCUCGUCAACUUAUAAAUUGCUAUUCCUUUCCUUCCAAGAUGGUACCACUUUGGUUGGUCGGUUAAGUCCUAAUGCAGCAUCUCUAUCUGAAGUAUCUUAUGUAUUUGAGGAACAAGAUGGCAAGCUACGUUCAGGUGGACUGCAUCGGUGGAAAGAGUUGCUGGCUAGUAGCGGGCUAUUUUUUUGCUUCUCUAGUUUGAAAUCAAAUGCUGCAGUUGCUGUGUCCUUGGGAACUAAUGAGUUAAUUGCACAGAACAUGCGUCAUGCAGCGGGCUCAACCUCACCAUUAGUUGGGGUAACUGCAUACAAACCUUUGUCAAAAGACAAGGUCCACUGUCUUGUUUUACAUGAUGAUGGUAGCCUUCAAAUAUACUCUCAUGUUCCUCACGGAGUUGAUGCUGCGACAAGUGUGACUGCAGAGAAAGUUAAAAAAUUGGGUUCUAAUAUCCUUAACAAUAAAGCAUAUGCUGGGACAAAGCCAGAAUUUCCCCUUGAUUUUUUUGAGAAAACAGUUUGCAUCACAGCUGAUGUGAAACUAGGUGGCGAUGCCAUCAGGAAUGGUGAUUCUGAGGGAGCUAAGCAGAGUUUGGCAUCUGAAGAUGGCUAUGUAGAAAGCCCAAGCCCUGCAGGAUUUAAGGUAUUUGUUUUUUAGGUUCCAUUAUCUUAUGUUACAUCCUAUUGUUUAGUUCCAAUUUUCUUUUGUAUUCUGCUGUUCAUGUUCGGUUUGCAUUGUUUUCUUGGCCAUGGAUGUCUGUUAAGAACCUGCUAGCAUGGAUGACACAGCUGCAUUGGCCUUAAUUAUUCAUCUUCUUUUAUGGACUGCAAAUAAAUUAUCUUUUACAAUUUUGUAUUGCACAGUUGAUGUCUUGUAACCAAUUAAAGCUGCUCCAUUUUGUUUUGGGUCGGAAUUUAUACUUGUGGUGGUUCUUUUUGGCUGCUGAUAGUUGUUGCUCUCUGGGUGUUGAUGGCUGGUGGGAUACACAGCUGUAAUUUCAUGAUGAUCUCCUAAUCUCUUAAUUUUUCCUAUGUUGGUGUUUGAUUGCAAGGAAGGUGAUCUGGUGCCAGUUUCUAUGUUUAGGCAUUUUGAUAGUACAUGAUUGUGGGAUGUAGGCUUACCUUAGAAACUUAAUGUUUUAUUUAGGGACAAGAAGCAUUUUGUUCGCAUUCUCCCUUGUCAUUGAUAGGACUUAGGGCUAAUUAGGGCUGACUUUUAUUGAUUAAAUCAAAAGAAAACAAACAAUCAAUCCUGACCUACAAUUCGAGAGGUAGGUCAAUCUCUCCCAAAACUCUUAAUGGUUCCUAAUACCAGACAAAACUCAACAUAAACCCUAAAUGACUCCAUAAUUGCCCCUAAAAUUACUAAUCUUAUUUAUAGCUAAACCCUAAUUAAUAAUAAAGUUACUAAAUUGCCCCUGCCCCUAAAAUUACUAAACAGCCCCUGCCCCUUUAUAUUUGCGCCUAACAUAAGUUUUCAUGGGUCUAACAGUCAUAUAGAGCUUGGGACUGGCAUCUGAUGCUGAAACUUAAUUUUAUUAUGGUAUUCCUAGUGACUGAAAGUUAGAUGUUUAAUACAGCUAUCUUCACAUGAAUGAGAUAAUGAGUGAUAUUUGCAAAAUUGAUCACAAUGACAUUGCAUAAUUGGCAAAAUUCAGAGCUAGAAUUUCUUUUAUGUGGCCAAUAAUCAUCUUAUUGUAUUCUUUGUUCAGAGCUUUUGGAUUAAUAUUUGUGGUGUUUCUGCUUUGUCUCCAUGCUUCUUUCCUGCUGCAUAGCAACUUCAGGAUAAUUAUUGGUUACUGUGCUUUCUAAGAUUUGUACUGAUCUCGUUUCUGUAUUUAACUUUUAAUUGUGUUUCCUUUUUCUUUUUCUCAGAUAUCUGUCUCCAAUUCAAAUCCUGAUAUUGUCAUGGUUGGCUUUCGUGUCCACGUGGGUAAUAAUUCAGCUAAUCAUAUACCCUCAGAAAUUAGUCUUUUCCAGAGGACAAUCAAAUUAGAUGAGGGUAUGCGGUCCUGGUAUGAUAUACCAUUCACGGUAGCUGAAUCACUUCUUGCUGAUGAAGAAUUCACAAUCUCCGUCGGACCGACCGUUAAUGGCUCUGCUUUACCUAGAAUAGACUUGCUUGAAGUAUAUGGUCGUGCUAAAGAUGAAUUUGGCUGGAAGGAAAAAAUGGAUGCAGUGUUGGAUAUGGAAGCUCGUGUCCUUGGUUCUAAUUCCUUGCUUGCAGGUUCUGGGAGAAAGUGUCGGUCAAUGCAGUCCGCACCUAUUCAGGAGCAGGUGGUAGCUGAUGGUCUUAAGCUUCUUUCUAGGUUCUAUCCGCUGUACAGGUCACAAGAAGAGGAAGUGGAAGUUCUGGCCAAGCUAAAGUGCAAGCAGUUUUUGGAAACAAUAUUUGAAAGUGACAGGGAACCCUUGAUGCAGACAGCUGCUUGCCGCGUUUUGCAGGCUGUGUUUCCCAAAAAAGAGACAUAUUACCAAGUACGUACUGAUGGCUAUGAUUCUUUGUGAUAGAUUAUUAAUUUUUUUGCGUCUUCAAUUGAAGAUACGAUUGUUGUACCAUUCUCCGUUAACAAUUUUUUUUUUUUAGAUUAAAGAUACAAUGCGCCUUCUUGGGGUGGUUAAAUCAACAUCUGUGCUUUCUUCAAGGCUGGGAGUUGGUGGUUCUACAGGAGGGUGGAUUAUUGAAGAGUUUACUGCUCAGAUGCGUGCGGUAUCAAAGAUUGCAUUGCACCGUCGAUCUAAUUUAGCUUCUUUUCUUGAUGCAAAUGGUAUUUUUACAAUCUCUUUAUAUUUGUGGGAGCUUGUGUGUGUUAAUUAGAUUUUCACUUUAAAUAACCCCAACCCAAAGCCCACCCCUCCUGUUUACCAACUGAAAUGAGGGUUAAACGUGUUAUUAUGAAUCUCUUAUAUACCUAUUUACUUAGUGAUUUAAUCUGCAAGAAACUAUGUUGUGUUUCCUUGGCAUCGUAAUAUGGGGCUCAAGUUUGUUCUGGAACCCAGUUAAUUAUCAUGAUUUUUUUUUUAAUUUAAUUUAAUUUAAUUUAAUUUUUCUUGGGGAAAAAAAAUGAUACCUGCAAGUGUGGGUGAACCUUAAAAUAUGUGAUCAUAUAUGAACGGUUAUCUUUUGUAGAAGAAUUCUUUUUGCGUCCUAACUGUUAUUUUCACUGUGUGUUCCAAAUUCCCUUCUGUGUUGAUGACAAAGUGCUCAGCAGUAGAUAUAUGGCCUUAACUUAUCAACUGCUUCCUCUUUUAAUAUGUUAGUUAUUCUAGGAUGUUCUGUCUUCUCUUUCCUUCCCUCCCCCUUGCCACCCCCUGUUUUUGAGAGCUCUUUCUUCUUGGAUCCUAUGGUGCUGAAAUAUUGGUUGUACUUGUUGUUGCUCAUAUGAGAAUUGAGAAUUGAGAAUUGUCAACUAAGCCAAUUUUCAAAAGCUUGAAGCAACUUAAUUUGUUGUUUCUCCAAAAUUGAUGGGCUUUCAAAUUGUUUUCUCAUCUUUUCAGAUGGUUGACUGUGGAUCUGUUCUAUUUGUCAUUUUGAUCAAUGCAGGUCCCGAAUUGAUAGAUGGGCUUAUGCUAGUUCUAUGGGGAAUUUUGGACUUUGAGCAACCUGACACGCAAACAAUGAACAAUAUUGUUAUUUCUUCUGUGGAGCUGAUUUACAGUUAUGCUGAAUGUCUGUCUCUACAUGGAAAAGAUACAGCAGGGAGUACUGUUGGACCUGCAGUUGAACUAUUUAAGAAACUUCUGUUCUUUCCUAAUGAGGCAGUUCAAGCUUCUAGCAGGUUCUUUUAUUUAUUUUAUUUACUUAUUUAUUUUUUUUGGGUAUCGUAUGCAGGAUCGCUUGAUCUAUUUAAAAUUUGGUGUUAACUUCUAAUUCCUUGCUUCCCAGCUUGGCAAUAUCAUCGAGAUUGCUUCAAGUUCCGUUUCCAAAGCAAACUAUGUUAGGGGCAGAUGACAUGGCAGAUAAUGCGGUGUCUACCUCUGCGCCUGCUGAGACACCUAGUAGAAAUACACAAAUUGUGAUUGAAGAAGAUUCUAUUACCUCAUCUGUUCAAUAUUGCUGUGAUGGCUGCGCCACUGUUCCAAUACUUAGGCGGAGAUGGCAUUGCACUAUUUGUCCAGAUUUUGAUUUAUGUGAGGCAUGUUAUGAAGUGCUAGAUGCAGACAGGCUUGCCCCUCCUCAUUCUAGAGAUCAUCCUAUGACAGCGAUCCCAAUUGAAGUAGAAUCUCUAGGAGGAGAUGGCAAUGAAAUUCACUUCUCGGAUGAUGUGAGUGAUUCAAGUAUGAUGCCUGUCAGAGCUGAUGUCAGCAUGCAGGAUUCUGCUCCUUCAAUUCAUGUCUUGGACCCUAAUGAGUCUGGAGAAUUUUCUGCCUCCAUGCCGGACCCUGUUUCCAUUUCUGCCUCAAAACGAGCUGUGAAUUCCUUGCUUCUCUCCGAGCUUCUUGAACAGUUGAAAGGAUGGAUGGAAACGACCUCUGGGGUUCGAGCUAUCCCUGUUAUGCAACUAUUUUACAGAUUAUCAUCUGCUGUAGGUGGCCCAUUUAUAGACAGCACAAAGCCUGACAGCUUAGAUUUAGAGAAAUUAAUUAAGUGGUUUCUGGAUGAAAUGAAUCUCAACAAACCCUUUGUAGCCAGAACUCGAUCUUCUUUUGGGGAAGUUGCAAUCCUUGUCUUUAUGUUCUUCACCUUGAUGCUUCGGAAUUGGCACCAGCCUGGCAGUGAUAGUUCAUUUUCAAAACCGAGUGGGAACACAGACUCUCGUGAUAAAAGUAGCAUGCUGAGUUCGACUUCAGCUGUAUCUCAGCCUCCCUUGGAUGAUCAAGUGAAGAAUGACUUUGCAUCCCAGCUGCUCCGUGCAUGCAGUUCUCUUAGAAAUCAAUCUUUUGUUAAUUAUUUGAUGGAUAUUCUGCAGCAAUUAGUGCAUGUCUUUAAGUCUCCUGUCAAUUUUGAAAGUGCACAAGAUCUGAGUGCUGCCUCUGGGUGUGGGGCUCUACUAACAGUCCGAAGAGAUUUACCAGUGGGUAAUUUCUCUCCUUUCUUUUCAGAUUCAUAUGCAAAAGCCCAUCGCACAGAUAUUUUUGUCGACUAUCAUAGGCUGUUGUUGGAGAAUUCUUUUCGACUGUUAUACACCUUGGUUAGACCAGAAAAGCAAGACAAGAAUGGGGAGAAAGAGAAGGUCUACAAGACAUCCUCUGCUAAGGAUUUGAAGUUAGAUGGAUAUCAGGAUGUUCUGUGCAGUUACAUCAAUAAUCCCAAUACAACAUUUGUGAGAAGGUAUGCAAGGAGGCUUUUUCUGCAUCUAUGUGGAAGUAAAACUCAUUAUUACAGUGUUCGAGACUUGUGGCAGUUCUCUACUGAGGUGAAGAAGCUCUACAAACAUGUAAAUAAAUCCGGCGGUUUCCAGAAUCCUAUCCCAUAUGAAAGAAGUGUUAAGAUUGUGAAGUGUCUUUCUACAAUGGCUGAAGUAGCUGCUGCACGGCCUCGAAACUGGCAGAAGUACUGCUUGAGGCAUGGAGAUGUUUUGCCCUUUUUGAUGAAAGGAGUCUUUUAUUUUGGUGAAGAAUCUGUCAUCCAGACUCUUAAACUACUAAAUUUGGCCUUCUAUUCAGGAAAGGAAAUGGGCCAAUCUUCACAGAAGUCUGAAGUUGGGGAUUCAGGAACAAGUUCUAACAAAUCUGGUUCACACACUCUGGAUUCAAAGAAGAAGAAGAAAGCUGAAGAUGGAGAAUCUGGUUCUGAGAAGUCCUAUUUAGAUAUGGAGGGAGUCACAGAUAUCUUCACUGAAAAAGGUGGUGACGUCCUGAGGCAAUUUAUCAUCUGCUUUUUACUUGAAUGGAAUUCAAGCUCUGUGCGUGGUGAGGCGAAGUGUGUUCUUUAUGGAGCAUGGCAUCAUGGAAAGCAUACAUUCAAGGAAACCUUGUUAAUGAAUCUGCUUCAGAAAGUAAAGUGUCUGCCUAUGUAUGGUCAGAAUAUUGUCGAGUAUACUGAACUUGUUACUUGGUUGCUGGGGAGGGUCCCUGAGAACAGUUCAAAGCAACUGAGCACCGAACUUGUGGACCAUUGCUUGACCACUGAUGUAAUUAAGUGCUUCUUUGAGACACUUCAUUCACAAAAUGAGCUUAUAGCUAAUCACCCAAAUUCCCGCAUAUACAAUACUUUGAGUGGUCUGGUGGAAUUUGAUGGUUACUACCUUGAGAGUGAGCCUUGUGUUGCCUGCAGCUCUCCUGAGGUUCCCUAUAGCAGGAUGAAGCUUGAAAGCCUGAAAUCUGAAACAAAGUUUACCGAUAACCGUAUCAUUGUGAAAUGCACUGGGAGUUACACCAUCCAGACUGUGACCAUGAAUGUUCAUGAUGCUCGCAAGUCCAAAUCUGUGAAAGUCUUGAAUCUCUACUACAACAAUCGGCCUGUGGCAGACUUGUCGGAGUUGAAAAAUAAUUGGUCCUUGUGGAAACGUGCAAAAAGUUGUCAUCUUGCUUUUAAUCAGACUGAGCUGAAAGUUGAGUUUCCCAUUCCCAUAACUGCUUGUAAUUUUAUGAUUGAGCUGGAUUCUUUCUAUGAAAAUCUUCAGGCUUUGUCCCUUGAACCACUGCAAUGUCCCCGUUGCAGUCGACCCGUCACUGAUAAACAUGGGAUUUGUGGCAACUGCCAUGAGAAUGCAUAUCAAUGCAGGCAAUGCCGCAACAUUAACUACGAGAAUCUGGAUUCUUUUCUGUGUAAUGAGUGCGGCUAUAGCAAAUAUGGACGGUUUGAGUUCAAUUUCAUGGCGAAGCCUAGUUUUACUUUUGAUAACAUGGAGAAUGAUGAAGAUAUGAAGAAAGGGUUGGCUGCUAUAGAAUCAGAAUCAGAAAAUGCUCAUAGGAGAUAUCAGCAGCUUUUGGGCUUCAAGAAGCCCCUUCUUAAGAUUGUAUCAAGCAUUGGUGAAAAUGAGUUGGAUUCACAGCAGAAGGACUCUGUCCAGCAGAUGAUGGUCUCUUUGCCAGGACCUUCUUGUAAGAUAAACCGUAAAAUUGCUCUUCUUGGCGUCUUAUAUGGUGAGAAGUGCAAAGCUGCUUUUGAUUCUGUCAGCAAAAGUGUUCAGACAUUGCAGGGACUUCGUUGGGUCUUGAUGAAUUAUUUGCAUCAGAAACAGUCAGAUAAUGCCAUGGCUGCUUCAAGAUUUGUGGUUUCCAGGUCGCCUAAUAAUUGCUAUGGGUGUGCUACUACAUUUGUGACACAGUGUCUCGAGAUUUUGCAAGUUCUGGCAAAGCAUCCCAGUUCUCGGAAACAACUUGUUGCAGCUGGCAUUUUAUCGGAGUUGUUUGAAAAUAAUAUCCAUCAAGGUCCAAAGUCAGCCCGUGUCCAAGCAAGGGCAGUGCUUUGUGCUUUCUCUGAGGGGGAUAUUAAUGCAGUUACAGAGCUGAAUGGAUUAAUACAGAAAAAAGUGAUGUACUGCCUGGAACAUCAUCGCUCCAUGGACAUCGCUGUUGCCACUCGUGAGGAGUUAUUAUUACUAUCAGAAGUGUGUUCACUGGCUGAUGAAUUUUGGGAAUCGAGAUUACGAGUUGUCUUCCAACUUUUGUUCUCUUCCAUUAAAUUGGGUGCCAAGCAUCCUGCAAUAUCUGAGCAUAUUAUACUUCCUUGUCUGAGAAUAGUAUCUCAGGCAUGUACUCCUCCAAAGCCUGAUACAGCAGAUAAAGAUCAAGCUUCGGCAAAAACUGCUGCUGUUGUGCAGCUGAAGGAUGAAAAUAGUGCAAAUUCAUCUGGAUCUUUCAAUGGUGCUGUUUCCGGUGGUAAAUCUGUACCAGAGGAAAAAAAUUGGGAUGUCACUAAUAAGACCCAAGAUAUUCAGUUGCUGAGUUAUUCAGAGUGGGAGAAGGGAGCAUCGUAUCUUGAUUUUGUUAGAAGGCAAUACAAAGUGUCUCAGGCAGUCAAAAGUUCUGGGCAGAGAUCCCGGCCUCAGAAACAUGAUUACCUUGCUCUUAAAUAUGCACUUAAGUGGAAGCGGCGUGCUUGUAAGACAGCUAGGGGUGACUUGUCAACAUUUGAGUUAGGGUCAUGGGUCACUGAACUUGUCCUGAGUGCUUGUUCUCAAUCUAUCAGAUCAGAAAUGAGCAUGCUGAUUAGCUUACUCUGUGGCCAAAGUCCAUCCAGACGAUUUAGGUUGUUGAAUUUACUGAUGGGUUUGUUGCCGGCAACUCUUGCUGCUGGUGAAAGUGCUUCAGAAUAUUUUGAAUUGCUCUUCAAGAUGAUUGAUUCAGAAGAUGCUCGUCUAUUCUUGACAGUACGGGGAUCUCUGACAACAAUUUGCAAGUUAAUUACGCAAGAAGUUGGUAACAUUCAAUCUCUAGAAACGAGUCUGCACAUUGACAUUUCACAGGGAUUCAUCCUUCACAAGCUUAUAGAGCUCCUUGGAAAAUUUUUAGAGGUCCCUAAUAUUAGAUCCAGGUAUCAUCGCAACUGUACUAGUUUUGUUUCAUGUCAAGAUGUUUAUUUCUUGUUUCUUAGCAAUUCAUUUUGAUGCCAGGUUCAUGCGAGAAAAUUUGCUAUCUGAAAUCCUUGAGGCUCUUAUUGUCAUUCGAGGUCUGAUAGUGCAGAAGACAAAGUUGAUUAGUGAUUGCAAUCGGCUUUUGAAAGAUCUUCUAGACAGUCUUCUCCUUGAAAGCAGUGAAAAUAAACGUCAGUUUAUCCGGGCUUGUAUCUGUGGUCUUCAAAUCCAUGGAGAGGAGAAAAAAGGACGAGCUUGUUUGGUAUAUUGCUUAACCUUCUUCUUCUUUUAUUCUUAAAGUUUGAUAUAUUAGUUUCCAACAAAUUUCGGAUACAGUUUGACUUUUUCCCUCUUGAUCUCUUUAGGGAAAGAAUUCUCAAGUAUACUGAACGCACGGGUUGAAUUAUGCCUCCAAAUUGGUUCUUGUAAAAAUUUAGUUUUGUAUUCCAGGAAGGUUCCUAAAAUUAAAAAAUAAAAUGUGUAGAAUUAGGUUCUCUUCAUUUCCGGUGGCACACUUAUUAUUCAAUUUAGUUUAAAUAACCUAACUAUUCCUGAUUCUUUGUUUUUAUUAUCAACUUCUUCUGCCUGGAAUUGUGAACCUGGAUUCUCUUAUAGCAGGAUGUGCAUGGUUUUUGUGAUUGUAUCUUGUUGACGAUUUCCUUACUGCUCCUCUUUCUUUGCCUGCAGUUUAUCUUGGAACAGCUAUGUAAUUUAAUCUGCCCAUCAAAACCAGAGUCGGUGUACCUGUUGGUUCUAAACAAGGCACACACACAAGAAGAGUUUAUCAGGGGAUCAAUGACUAAAAAUCCUUAUUCCAGCGCUGAGAUUGGUCCGUUAAUGCGUGAUGUAAAAAAUAAAAUUUGCCAUCAAUUGGAUCUGUUAGGCCUUCUUGAAGAUGACUAUGGCAUGGAGUUGCUAGUAGCUGGUAAUAUUAUUUCACUUGAUUUAAGCAUUGCUCAAGUUUAUGAGCAAGUCUGGAAGAAGUCAAGUAGUCAAUCUUCAAGUGCCAUCGCCAAUUCUACCUUGUUAUCCUCCAGUGCUGUGACAUCAGCUAGAGAUUGCCCACCAAUGACAGUGACUUAUCGGCUUCAGGUUUGUUUAUACUGUUUGAAAAUUUGCGAUGAAUUUCAGUUACUGACAAGCUGGACUGUGCUUCACCGUUAGACUACAUUUUUUUAUUUAAAAAAAAAAAAAUUCUAACAGUGGAUGUUAACUCAUGUCUUCAGAUUUUAUACAGUGGACACUUGCGUCUUUCAUACUUAUAAUUUGCGCUUUUCGUUAUCAUUUAUCAGUUUUUGUUGUUUGUGUGGUAACGCACCAUUUAUAUACUUUUGACCCGAAGAUAUGCACUGCUUUCUUGUAUAUUCAUUCAUUUAUAUUUUUGUUCAAUUUGCAGGGUUUAGAUGGUGAAGCUACUGAGCCUAUGAUCAAAGAAUUGGAGGAAGAUAGAGAGGAAUCACAAGAUCCAGAGCUGGAAUUUGCCAUAGCAGGUGCAGUCAGGGAAUAUGGUGGACUGGAAAUUUUAUUGGGCAUGAUCCAGGUGUGUAACUUAUCCUAAAAGAAAUCCUGGAAUUUGGAAGAAAAUUUUAUUUUAUUCUGACUCAAUUGUCGAGGCUAUUGUCUUUUAUGUUUCGCAUGGGUAUGUAGUGCAGCUAUUCUGCACUCAGAUAACUAUCAAAUUCUUCACUCUUUAAGCCAUCAGAUAUAGGCUUUUAUGCAUUUAUAGGUUUGUAGUAAAUAGAUGAUUAAUUCUUAAAGUUAUUUUGCUUCACAACCAUCAUGGAGGUUUCUCUCAUCUGUUAUUGAGGUAUCUGACUUCUGAUUUGAUGUUCAGCAUUUGCGAGAUGAUUUGAAGUCCAACCAAGAGCAGUUGGUCGCUGUUCUUAAUCUUCUAAUGCACUGCUGCAAGAUAAGAGAAAAUAGACGGGCCUUGUUAAGACUAGCAGCUUUGGGUCUGCUUCUUGAAACUGCAAGGCGUGCCUUUGCUGUGGAUGCUAUGGAACCGGCAGAAGGCAUUCUUUUGAUUGUUGAAAGUCUGACUCUGGAAGCAAAUGAAAGUGAUAGUAUUAACAUCUCUCAGAAUGUUCUUACAGUGACUAGUGAGGAAAGUGGCACAGGCGAACAGGCUAAGAAAAUAGUUCUUAUGUUCCUGGAAAGAUUGUGCCAUCCAUCUGGCCUUAAAUCGAACAAACAGCAGAGAAACACUGAGAUGGUUGCAAGAAUCUUGCCUUAUUUGACAUAUGGUGAGCCUGCUGCGAUGGAAGCACUAAUUCAGCACUUUAACCCUUACCUGCAAGAUUGGGGUGAAUUUGACCGGUUGCAGAAACUACAUGAAGACAACCCAAAAGAUGAGAACAUUGCUCAGCAAGCAGCUAAGCAGAUGUUUACAGUCGAAAAUUUUGUUAGAGUUUCAGAGUCACUGAAGACAAGUUCCUGUGGGGAGAGAUUGAAGGACAUUAUUUUAGAGAAGGGUAUAACAGGUGUUGCUGUUAUGCAUUUGAGAGAGAGUUUUGCAGUUGCAGGGCAGGCUGGCUACAAAUCCAGUCCAGAAUGGUCAUUGGGUUUAAAACUCCCAUCUGUCCCACAUAUAUUGUCCAUGCUGAGGGGCCUGUCGAUGGGGCACUUGGCCACUCAGAGAUGUAUUGAUGAGGGAGGAAUUUUGCCUCUGCUUCAUGCUCUGGAAGGAGUAUCGGGAGAGAAUGAAAUUGGUGCUCGGGCUGAAAACUUGUUAGACACACUAUCCAAUAAAGAGGGAAAAGGAGAUGGAUUUUUGGAGGAAAAGGUGAGUAUGUUGCGACAUGCCACUAGGGAUGAAAUGAGGCGUCUUGCUUUAAGGAAGAGAGAGCAGUUACUUCAGGUACUAUUCCGUCAAACUACUUGCUGCAAUUGUAUCGGUGGAUAUCUACAUGGUUAUAAUCUAGUGCAACGAAAACAUAAAAGUAAUGAACUUUAAUUUUUUUUUUUUAAUUCUGCAGACUUCCUACUCUUAGUUUUAAGUUUUUUUUUUUUUUACCACCACCCGAAGGUGGGGGGUUAGGUAGGACCCCUACCUGUAAACUCUUAGUUUUAAGUUCUUUUCAGCAUUCAUUUUAACUUUUUUAGAGCUUUGCUUGUACUAUUUUUUCCCUUUUCAACACACUGGGCUGUAUUUUUGUUCUCUUUGGAUUUCCUGAACAAUGGGGAGCUACUAGUGGUGCACACAUACCUAAUUGUUGGUUGUCCCUGCCUCCCUUCCUUUAACAUUUUCUGCUUUAAUGCUUUCGUUAGUCUAGAAUCUGUUGAUUAUCUUGAAGCUAAAAAUAUAUUAGCUUCUAGGUAGAAAGGAACAUAGGAAGAGAGUAGUAGAAUGAUAUAUUUGUUAAUUAUGUAACUAUACCUGAUAUGCAUUUUCCCCCCUUGAAUUAGGGACUUGGAAUGAGACAAGAACUAGCUUCAGAUGGUGGCGAGCGAAUUGUGGUUGCUCAGCCAAUUUUGGAAGGUUUAGAAGAUGUAGAGGAGGAGGAGGAUGGAUUGGCAUGUAUGGUGUGCCGAGAGGGCUACAGUUUGAGGCCUACUGAUUUGCUUGGUGUUUACUCUUACAGCAAGCGAGUGAACUUGGGUGGUGGUACUUCAGGAAGUGCUCGUGGAGAAUGUGUAUACACUACUGUCAGUUAUUUCAAUAUCAUUCACUUCCAGUGUCACCAGGAAGCCAAAAGAGCAGAUGCUGCUCUGAAGAAUCCAAAGAAAGAAUGGGAGGGAGCUACCCUCCGGAACAAUGAAUCUCUUUGCAAUUCCUUAUUUCCUGUGAGAGGUCCAUCUGUUCCAAUAGCACAGUAUGUCCGCUAUGUUGAUCAGUACUGGGAUAACCUCAAUGCUCUCGGCCGUGCUGAUGGGAACCGGCUCCGGCUGUUGACUUAUGACAUUGUUCUGGUACAAAAUAAUUGUCAUAUGUGUCUUCCCUUUUCAUUCAGAAUUAUGAUUGAAGUUGGCAAGAUUGGUGUUGAGUCAUUGUUAAUCUUUAUGUUUCUAACAUCCAUGUAAUUUUCUGAUGCAGAUGCUUGCUCGAUUUGCAACUGGGGCAUCAUUCAGCGCAGAGAGUAGAGGUGGUGGAAGAGAAAGCAACUCCAAGUUUCUGCCUUUUAUGGUACAAAUGGCUCGCCAUCUUCUCGAACAUGGAAUCCCCUCCCAGCGCCAUAGUUUGGCCAAGGCUGUAUCGACAUACGUAAACUCUUCCAUGGUAGAUUCUAAACCUUCCACCCCUGGUACGCCUUCUGGAGGAACGGAAGAAACUGUGCAAUUUAUGAUGGUGAACUCACUUCUAUCGGAGUCCUAUGAAUCUUGGUUGCAACACCGUCGAGCCUUCUUGCAACGUGGAAUAUACCAUACGUACAUGCAGCACACUCAUGGUCGGUCAAUGGCUCGGUUAUCAUCUAGUUCAACAAGCACAGGCAAGUUAGAAUCAGGAAGUACGAGCGGAGGCCCUGCGACGGAGUUGGGUGGUGCUGAUGAGCUGCUGUCAAUUGUUCGACCAAUUCUUGUCUACACAGGCUUGAUUGAGCUGAUGCAGCAAUUCUUCAAGGUGAAAAAAUCAGCAAAUGCAGCACCUGUGAAAGCAGAAGGAACCUCUAAAGGGUCAGAAGGGGACGAUGAGAGUGGAAGCUUGGAGGGUUGGGAGGUUGUGAUGAAAGAGCGGCUGUUGAAUGUGAAGGAAAUGGUGGGAUUCUCCAAGGAGUUGCUUUCAUGGCUUGAUGAAAUGGAAGCAGCUACUAAUUUGCAAGAGGCAUUUGACAUCAUCGGUGUUUUAGCCGAUGUACUAUCCGGCGGGAUUUCGCGUUGCGAAGAGUUUGUCAAUGCUGCAAUUGAUGCUGGAAAAGGCUGAGGAAUUCGGCAAAAUUGGGAGCAUGUUAUGUGUUGUAUUUUACAGUAUUUUUCUAGCGUUCCCUGCAAAAACUGAGUAAUACAAUCUUGGUAUUUUCCCAUGAAUAAAUGGGCUUUGAAAAUCUAUCCAUUGAACGCAUAUUUGCUCCUUGUCCUUGGUAAUCAAAACUUUGUUCCAGGAAGAAUUUUGUGUUAGAACAUAUGAGUGAAGUCAAUGAUAAUGUGACAAACUUUGCUGGUGAUGGUACAAUCGUGUUAUAUGUACAAACAAAAUACAAACUUUUCUUGGGAAUGCUACUCGGAUGCUCACUAUUUCUGGCAACAGAGAAUUGACAAGAAGAUAACUUUUAAUUGCCCAUAUGAACAUCCUACAACAUGAAAUUCAAACAAAAAUGUUCAGAAACAAAAGAAAACACAGAUCUUAAUGGGUCUUCAGUUCAUUGCAUCAUAAUCAUCCACCUUAUCAUUGUAUUCCAAGACCUUUCUCUUUAUCUUGGAUGUAUCUACCCAUGUAAUAAAGUCUUCCAUAUUCCUGGUCACGAGGAAUGCAGGGUCUGUAACUGUCUCCGGUCCGACUCGAAUGUGUCCCUGUUCAAUAUAUGUCACAGCUUCUUUCAGGUGCUCAGCAAACUUCAACCGCACCAAAAUGGUGGCAAGCCUGCGUCUGCAACCAAAAGACAUGCUCGCUCACAAGGGAAGAAAAAGAAAACACACAGAAUUGUAGGAAAUAAGACAAUUGCUUUCAUCAUAUUUGACUAUCAGUCAAAAACAUCAAUUCCAAUUCACACAAUGAUUCUAAUUCUACUUCGAGAAGCAUUUGCUUACCUACAGAAGGAUGAAACUGAUAGAUGAUCACACAAAGCCAAGCUUUUCCUGCUUGGUAUUACACCCAUGUUAUAUCUGUCAUCAACAAGGGAAAAACCAAAGUGUCAAAAUAUAAUCAUAAUGUUAGCCAAGCCAACAAUUGAGUUGGUGAACUUAAAAGACAAGGAUAAUGACGCCAUGCGAUGCCAAUGCUUAAAAAAAUAAUAAUAAUGAUAAAAAAAAUUACUCACAGCUUCUCGAGAAGCAUAUCAGUCAUCUCAAUACGAAAAGGGUCUCUUGGAUCCAUCUGCUUCAAUAUAUUAACCAGCUUCUGCACCAUCCCGCACAAACUUGAAUACCUUUUUUUUUUUUUUUUAAUUCACCAAAAAUCACCAUAAAAUCAGAAAAAUGAAAAAUAAUUCAAAAAUCCAAAAGCAAAAACGACCCUAUUCAGGAAUUAACAAAUAUAUAUAUAAAAGAAAUUUACGAACUUACUUCUUGUAAUCGUCGCGGCCGGUGACGUGGUACCGCUGCAAUAUCAUGGCUUCCCUGUGGCCACCUUCUCUUUUCCAUUCUAAAAAAUUGACUUUUUUUAACAACUUCUUCUCAUGGAACUUUAGCUUCCUCAUUAUGAUUCUUUGCUUUAGUAAACGAUGCUGCUAAAUUUUAAGAAAAUUUGAUGAAGAGAGAGACCUAAACCCUAGAAGCAAAGUGAAUACGACACCCUAACUCGCAACUACAAAGUACAAACUAGAAGAAGAUAAUUGGGCCGGGCUUAUUUAUGAUUUGAACAUUAGGCCCAUUUAGAUUAUUCGCCCAAAUAAUGUUUUUAUUUACAUUUUAAAAAUUACUCAAACACUAUUUAGGACAAUUUAAUACAAGACAACAUUAUAUAAUUCUCAUGUCUUAAAUCUAAAACUUUUAUUUCCAACAUCUUAAUAAAUAUUUAGAUAAACGGUGAAGAAAUCAAAAUUUUAAAAAAAAAAAAUUUGACUCCAAAGUAUGUGUAAUACUUUUUUUUUUUAAAAUAAAAAAUAUAAAUACUGUAAAUAUCAUUUUUUUUUUUGUUUUUAACCCUUUUUCUUCUUCUAAGUGUAAGAGAAAUAAAAUGUUCAAAGUCAUUUUCUGGACUACAAAAGUACAAAUAACCCCACCCAUAAAAAUAUGUUCAUUAUUUUACAAAGGAAAAUGAUGUUUGCCUCGGGUCAAACCCCGAAACUAAACAAAACGGCGUCGUUUUGUUUUGUUUUUUUUUGCUUUUUUGCUUCUCCAAAACGUUGCCGUUUCUGAUGGAUUAUUUCACUCACUCUUCCUCUUCGUUUCUUCGUUUCACUUGGGAUUCGUUUCACCUGAGACAAAUAGAAGAGCCAUUCGCGAAAUUAAACACCGUAAAUCUCUUCGUUUCUUCAUUUCUUUUUUUCUUCGUUUCUUCGUUUCUUCCUUACCAAAAAAUUCGUUACUUUCCUUCUCGAGAGCUCUGCUCUGCUUUUUCGUCUUCAAUUCAUGCUAAAAAUCCCAGUCGUUGCCGCCGGCAAAGUACGAUGGGUUCAUGUACGCGAAUCACCCCGUUGACUCGGACACCAUCGUCAUCGAAGCGUUCUUUGACCCGGUCUGCCCCGACAGCAGGGAUGCAUGGCCUCCUCUCAAGCAAGCCCUUCAGCACUACGACCCUCACGUUUCCCUCGUCGUUCAUCUCUUGCUGUUACCGUGAGUCAUCCAUUCUCUGUCUGCUUAUUUGCUACAAUUUUUUAUUAAUUUUUAUUAUGGACUGUGAUUUUGGGAGAGCAAUUUUAAUUAUUUAUGUUAUUUGAUUUUAUUGCUUGUUCAAUCUUUAAUGUUUAGUCUAUACCGAUUGUUUAUGGUGGCACAUAAAAUUAUAUAUGCUUUGUCUCAUAUCGGUCCACGUUUAAUGGUGCAUUGUUUGAGAAUUCGCACAUAAUUUUUUUUUUUUUACUCAGAAAUAAAUAACAAUUUGUUUGCUGGCAUAAAUAAUGCUUUCUAUUAGAGUUACAGGAGAUCUUCAUAUCUUCCUGUCAUUGCAUUGUACCCAAAUCGCCAAUUAGAAGUUCGACCAGGAGACAAAUUUUGUUUUGUCUCAGCCCGCAACUGGAGCCUCCAUUCCGCUACAGCCAGAGGCACCCACAAAGCAGCACUCCAAAACCAACAGAAUAGGAAGAACAGCCACCACGCAACAACCACAAUGCACAAAGCAGCACUCCAAAAUCGACUAGAAUAGCUAGGCACAGACUCUUUGACAUAUGAGAAGCACGGGUUGAGGCGUCACUGUGGCUUCGCUAUGGCUAUUGUGCAGAGGUAUGGUGGCUUUUGAUCGUGGAGUUCAGUGCAAGUUAUGUGGCUUGUAUUGGUCUUGAUUAAAGGUUUUGUGAUCACGGAAUAUUAGUUUUUGUUUGAAAAAAAAAAAAAAUAAAUAAAUAAAAAGAAUAAUGCGCCAAAAUUGUGUCGUACGUUGGGUUUUAAUUUCAGAAUCAAAACUGUGUUGUUUUGGUCUAGAUUGAGGUUUUACUCGGGGUUGGGUUUGACUCAAUUAGUGUAUCAUCACUCGAAAAUUAUUUCGGCCUUGAAAAUAACUCUCGCAUUUUCCUUUGAUCCCGUUUCACUAAUAUUUAUAUGCAUGCAAAAAAAUCACAUUGAACUUCAACACCAUCACUCUUUAACCACAAAAUCACUCUUUAGAGGCUCAAAAAAACUACGUGGGUAUAACAUUUGUUUCUUUGUCCAAAUUGGGUCCGAGAAUUUCACCACUCCAACAAAUUUUCCUAUGACUUUUUAGAAAAUUUUUGAAAAUAAAAAAAAAAUUAUUCCAAAUUGACCCCCUUUUUUUCUAUGGUCUAAUUUCACUAAUAUCUGUGUACGUGCCAAAAAAAAAAUGAGCUCAAAAUUCAAUAUCAUCAUCUUUUUAUCAUAAAAUUAUCCUUAAAAAGCCCAAAAACCUUUGGUUUCGAGUCCGGGGAAAAAAUUUAGAUUUUUUUUUACCAAAAAGGAUUACAAAAAAGUUUCACAUCAAUAUGGUGAAAUUCCCUAAUUUCACAUCUAUUUGGUACGCUCUUCUAAUUUUUUAAUUUUUUUUCUAACUUUUUGAAAAUUUGUAAAAAAUUAUUCCAAACUUUCAAAUAUUUACAUUUAUCAAUAGUAACAUGCGUGCAAAAUCACUUGAAAUUCAAAAAGUAAUUUUUUUCACUAAAAUCUUAUUUAAGACAGAGAGGUCUUUUAAGAAUUUGACAUCAAUUCAAUAAAACUUUUAUAUUUUUAUUUUUUCGUUAUUUUUUUCAAUAUUUCAAAAAAAAAAAAAUUCACCAAAUAUUUUUUCGUUAUUUUUUUCAAUAUUUCAAAAAAAAAAAAAUUCACCAAACAUUCCGGCCUCCAAAUUUACGAUUUUUAAGGAAAAAAAAAGAACUAAUAAUAUUUUAAAAUAGAUGUUUUAUAUUUAGUAUUGAUAAAUAAAUAAUACAAAAGUAAAAUAGUAAUAACUAGUUUAGAUGCUUGUGUCUGAGUUUUGGAUACCAAAGGAUCACUUAGCACAUGAUUCAUUAGAUUUGAUUGUCCCACAUUAUUGUACGGAUUCCUGGAAAGUUCCAUCAACAAGAAGAGGUAGAUACCAAACUCUAAGUUGUGAAAAAAAAUCAAAACUUGUUCAUUUUGUUGUAAGGCAAAAAAAUUCGGCUAUUAAUGAAUAUGAACAAGCUACCCCUUGGUGGGUGUGAACUUAUAUACCCCAUUGAAAUUCAACAUUAAUUAAAGGCGACAGCUAUGAUUAUAAUGAAGCUUCUCUAUCAACAGAAGCUGCAACAUCUGCUACAUAUUUGCCGCCUUGUGAAAUGUUGCAUGAAAACAAAUUAAAAAAAAAAUAAAAAAAGCCCAUGUGAGUGAGAGUUGAUAACCCAUCAAAAGUUCUGCAACAUUUCCAUCUCCUAUCCACCACUUUACCAUCAAUCCAAUAUCUAACCCCGCUUCACAAAAUAAUAAGACGAAGAGGGAUCGACACAUGCCUAUUGCCGCCAUUCACCAGUCGCCAAUGCUUAAAAAUUGAACCCAUUUUAGGAGUUUUUUUUUGCUUUUCUUUUGCCGUGCGGUGAAGGUAAGUUGUAGUUUCAUGAUAGGACAUUAUUGUUGUGCCCAAUCCAAAAUCGUCCCUCGCCAUCAUGAGAUGAGGACCUUUGUAGAUUUUACUAGACUUUUAUCAUAUUUUUCUUUUCGUGGGCUUUAUUUUUAAUAUUACAUUACAAGUAGUGACAAUUUAUCAUGAUUUCUUAGCCAUGAAAUAGUGGCUAAUUUUAAUAGGUUGGAUCAACUUUCAAAUAUUUAGAAGAAAAAUAUUAUCUAUACAAAGAUGCUUGAAUCCUUUGAAUCCUUUUUCAUAAGUGACUACCACCCAAAACACAACCAAACUAAUAAUAAUAAUAAUAAUAAUAAAGAAAAAUCUAUCUGCAAGUAAUUUUAAUUAAAUUAUUAUUUUUCUUUGUAAGACUCGACUGGAAGUUUGAUUCGGCGGAUGAGACUCUAACACGGUUCUACUGCUGUGAAUACAUUAAAUACGCAUAUUCUCAAGAAUUUCGUUUCUCAAAAUAAAAUAAUUUCUUAUGGGUAAGUGAAGUAUAUUAAUAUAAUAUAGAGUUCCAUGAUUGAAUAUCCAAAAGCACUUCUUCUUCCUAUCAAUACAUACGGCUAAGAAGCGCUUUUAAUGUGUGACGGUUCUCAACCAAAAGGAGAAAGAAAAUUUGUCCGUCUGUUUUUUCAAUUUGCAUAAAAAAAGCUGAAAAGAGAAAUGUGUGUCUGCCAAAUCAUGAAUUGAAAGGCUUUUUAUUUAUUUAAUGCCCAUAUUUGGUUUAUUUUGUGUUUAUACAUUUAUAUAAGGAAGUCAUGUAACCGACAAGCUUUUCACAGGUUCCAAACAACUUUCCUUUUUCUUUAUAGAUUAUUAUAAUUUUCACCAGUAACAAUUUAAAAAAUUCACGAAUAAUAAUCACGGGGGGCUUAAUUUUGUCACAAAUAUAAAACUCCCGAAACAAUAUCCCGACGUUAUCACAACUUGCAUUGCAUGCUUUGCUUAGAACUAAGAAUAAAUUAACGUUAAUCACUCCAUUAUUCUGCCUUUUUUUUUCAAUGGAUUAAAGCAAGCAAAUCUUUUUUUUUUACUGAAAAGUAAGUGUAUCGAUAAUCUUUCUAAACAAAUUUAUUCAUAAAAAAAAAAGGAAUGAAUAUGUUAUUAAUUUCUUAUCCUUGUAGGUUAAGAAUUUAUUUACAUUUGCCUUUUAAUUAUUUUAUUGUUACUCGAAUACAUUUGCUUGUAAGGAACUAGCUAGUUUUUUACCCAAGUGAGUAAAUACAUGUUUUCUCUAUUUCUUAUAAUUGUAAAUGAAGGUGUCAAUUAUAAUAUAGCAACGUACAUGCAAUCCACUGUCUUAAUAUGGAUCAAGCAAAAAUGUCACUAGCAGACAUGAUUAAACAAAAGACUUAGACGUUAUAUCAAUUAAGAUGAUAAGAAUAUCAAGAAAAAAAAAAUCAUCAAAAUUUAAUUUGAGGGUACAUGGACAUUAAUCUUAUAUCAAAUUCUGUUGGGUGUUAAUACAUUAAUGUUUGGGAUUUGGGAAGGUCCCUUGUCCAUAUAAUGUUGGUAUAUGUUUUAACUACGUGUUCUUUACAAACAAAGACAUCAUAACUACAUCAAAUAAAUCUCUAAAUUUGACAUAUAAAAAAAAAAAGGUAUUAGAUGAAAUAUAUUUUCAUGUUCAUGAGCAAAUUUGCCAAAGGAAGACUGUCGGUGGAACCUAUAAUAUGCUACAUCCUACAUGCAUUUAGAAUUGGUUGUUGUUGUGAUUAUUAUGAUUGGGGUCAAUGUAUUUGUGGGUUGCAUGAUAGGAAUAUUAAAUAUCAAAUAAAGUUAUUUUACAUUGGAGGUAAUAAAUAUCAUAUAUAUAUAUAUAUAUAUAUAUAUAUAUAUAUCAUCAUCAUCAUAAUACAAAAAAAUAGUAAUAAUUAUGACGAGUCAUCCCAUGUUCUCAGUUCAUACUUGUUUUUAAUAUCAUAGUCCAUACUUUAAUGAAUUAUUUAUUAUAAUAACAUAAUAUUACAAGAACCAAAAGAACUACAUAAUAUUGUUAUAUAACAUGUACUUCAAAACCAUUAUAAUUAUGGUAUCAAUUAAUUAAGAAUAUAUGUUGGUAUAACUAAAUGAUAUGACCCUUGGAUGCCAAAUAACAUAUUACUUUGAAAGACCUUAUCUUUCUCCCAACAAGCUAUUUUUCACUCUUUAAUUUAUAUAAUUAAAAGUAAUAAAAAAGGGGAAAAAAAAGGCUGUCUGUGAUCACGGUACUUUUUGUGCAUCUUACUUCAUACUUUCAUAGUUUGGGCACUGUAGUCGAAUCCGAGAAUAAAUUAUAAGUAUAAAAUAUACAUCAAUUUUUACAAGAUUUACUUUAUCGUCACCAAAAAAAAAAAAAAAAAGCAAUCCAUCUUUCAAAAUCACUACCUACUAUAAUGAGUCAUUCCUCAUUAACUACAAUAGUUUCUCCAUUUUUCAAAAAGGUCAAUUAAGUGAAAUCAGAAAAAAAAAAAAUUACCAAAGCAAAAAUUGUCUCAAUGUGAGUGGUGAAUGGUGAUGAUAUAUACUUUCUCAACCUUUUUCGUAGCAAAAACCCAAUCUCUAUAGUAAAUGCAACGCUUGCGCCUUAAUAACUGGCUUUGUUUAAUAUUUAUUUGUUUCGUUUCACUUCACUUCACUUCACUUCACAUUCACUUUACAUUCAAUUGUUUGUUAUUAUGUACGUAAUGUAUGUGUGUAAUGACCACAACGUCAAUUUAUAGCCAGCCUCAAUUAUCAAAACAAAAAAAAAACUCUCCUCUCUCUCUCUCUCUCUCCCCGCCUCUUCUCUUUCACUGAAUUCUCCGACAACCCUCUCGCCGGGAUCUGGUCGGAAAACGCCACCGGAUUAUCAAGAAACCACACCCCACUCCUCCCAUUCUUCAGUGGAACAACUUGCAUGGAGUUUGCUAUGAAGCUGAGCUUCUGAUAUUGUUUUUUAAUGCAGAAGUUUUAUGAUUAUCGAGGGAGUUCUAGUGUUCCGAAGUGUAGUUUGUUAUGUUAAUCAAGUUUCUUGGAGCAUCAUCAGCAGUAGCUUGUCUUGUGCCGAAGGAGAUAGCAUUCUUUUUUCUUUCUUUUUUUCUUAUUUCACCAAAUUCAAUACUCAAUAUUGUUUAAUGAUUCUUGAUAAUUGAUAUUGAAUCUUGAAUGAACUGAAUUGGAAGGAAUGGCUAUUAUGUGUUAUGUGUGAUGUGUACAAUGUGCAGAGUAGAGAGGCCUAGUGAGAAUAACACUAAUAAUAAGUGUGAAUUACAAGAGUACUUGAUGACGAUGGGAUUAAAGUUUAAUAAUAGUAAGCUGAUGAAGCAUUCACCAAUGGCUGUCUCGCAGUCUCGGGUUAAGCUAUGGAUGAUUAGGGCAAUCACAAGUAUUUUGCUAUGGACUUGUGUUGUUCAGUUGAUGGCAUUAGGCGAGAUGUGGGGGCCAAGAUUGUUGAAAGGCUGGCCUUCUUGUUUUAGUCAUGAUUCUGAUUUGUCUUUGGCUGCUCAAUUUUCUCCUCUUCCUGCUAAAAUUGUUCUUCCACCGAAGAGUAAGUUCAAUAUUUUGCUUCUUUCUAUUCUUUUCCUGGAAAAUUAAUUUUCCGUCAUAAUUUGUAUUUUCUAAUUCCGGGAACGUUUGUUUGUUCUACAGGGGUCUAUAAAAAUAACGGUUAUUUGAUGGUUUCUUGUAAUGGAGGACUCAAUCAAAUGAGAGCUGCUGUGAGUUUGAUUUCUAGCUUGUUUUGAUAAUCUGAUAACACUGCAAUUUAUACUGUGUCCAUUUGUUUAAUUGCUUUCUGAACUUUUUUAUUUUUGCAGAUAUGUGACAUGGUCGCUAUUGCUAGAUACUUGAAUGUAACUCUUAUUGUGCCGGAGCUGGAUAAAACUUCAUUCUGGAAUGAUCCAAGGUAUAUUAAGUUUUGAGUAAUUUUUAUUUUGUUAACUACUCUCAAUUCCAAUUCAAAACAGCCCUUAAUUUUCUCUGAUUGAUUCUCUAUACAUGAACAGUGAGUUCAAAGACAUAUUUGAUGUUGAUCAUUUCAUUGCGUCAUUGAGAGACGAGGUUCGAAUAUUGAAAGAAUUGCCACCAAGGCUUAAAACAAGAGUUGAAUUGGGAAUGUUAUAUUCAUUGCCACCCAUCAGUUGGUCAGAUAUUUCUUAUUACCAUAAUCAGGUCAGUUCCAUGGAGAUAUGUCAUAAAGAUGGACUUAUUUGUUUGCUGAUGCAACUCUAACUUGUUGAAAUAUUUUGAUUCUGCUGACAGAUACUUCCCCUGCUGCAAAAACACAAAGUUGUACAUUUAAACAAAACUGAUGCUAGGCUUGCUAAUAACGGACUGCCCCUUGAGUUUCAGAAGUUGCGUUGCCGUGUAAAUUUCAAGGCAUUAAAAUUUACUUCUCAGAUUGAAGAAUUAGGCAGAAGGGUUGUGAAGAUUUUGAGGGAAAAAGGCCCUUUUCUGGUUCUUCAUCUCAGGUAUGAAAUGGACAUGCUGGCUUUUUCUGGCUGCACUCAUGGCUGUAACAUUGAAGAGGUGGAAGAAUUAACCCAAAUGAGGUAAGUAACCAUUUUGGAUACGAUUUCUUGUCUCACUUUAUGUUUAUCAAGUGUCUGUUGACUGUCGCAUUAACAUGUUGUUAAGAUAUGCGUAUCCAUGGUGGAAGGAAAAGGUUAUAAACUCGGAGAUGAAAAGAAAAGAAGGAUUGUGCCCUUUGACACCUGAGGAAACUGCUCUAGUUUUAACUGCAUUGGGCAUUGAUCACAAUGUCCAAAUUUACAUAGCUGCUGGAGAAAUCUAUGGUGGCCAAAGAAGAAUGGCAGCUUUGGCAGAGGCUUUUCCAAAUUUGGUGAGUCAAAAAAGAAUGCAAAAUCAACUUCAUAUUUACUUUAGCGUACAUCCCUUGAUUAAACUUUCACACGGUCUUAUGCAACAGGUGAGAAAAGAGACUUUGCUAAAAUCAGAUUUGAAGUUUUUCCAAAACCAUUCUUCCCAAAUGGCAGCACUAGAUUACCUUGUAUCCCUUGAAAGUGAUAUAUUCAUUCCUACAUAUGAUGGUAACAUGGCUAAAGUUGUUGAAGGCCAUAGAAGGUAAAAUAAAAAAUUAUUAUGCUUUGCGUUGUGUUGUGUUAGUACAAUUAUUGGAACAUUAAUUAAUCAAGUCUUGGUUUCUUGUGUUCUGUUUUGUAAAAUUUUCAGAUUCUUAGGCUUCAAGAAAACGAUUUUGUUGAACAGAAGGCAACUGGUUGAUCUAAUAGAUCAAUAUAACAAUGGAUCGAUGAGCUGGGAUGAGUUCUCUUCAACUGUGAAGGAAGUUCAUGUUGAUUUGAUGGGGAACCCGAAAGCACGAGUUGUGAUACCUGAUAAACCGAAAGAAGAAGAUUAUUUCUAUGCCAAUCCGCGUGAAUGCUUGCAACAGUUAGAUGAACCAUCGAGGAACACAUGAUUUUUCGUCAUGCCAAUCAGAUGAUUAACCCCAUUUAUACGUGUACCUAUGCGUAUUUAUCAAAGAAAGUGGCCUACUUCAGUUCUUGAAAAUUAAGUUAUGACAGAGCUUUAGGCCUUAUCCUAGACAUUCUUGACAAGUGUUGCAGGAAAAAUAAUAAUCUUUUACAUCUUGAGCAGUCAAGUCCAUAUAUAGAAUCUGAGGCGGGUAAAUGACAGAUCAAAACUAGAUUGUUGUAAAAGCAUCAAAUGUAUACCAGAAAUAAUGAACGUUCAACAAAUUUUCUCUGCAUUUUCUCUCUCGAUUUAAAUCUGAGAAAUGAUAAACUAUUUGUGGCAUGUGAUCGUAAAGAAAGAAAAGUGAUAUUUCGGCAACCUUCUGUCAAUAAAUUUUUUUAUGCCAGAAGACCUUAAUAGUAGCAUUACAUGUGCUAACAUAGACAAGAAGCCAAGAAAUCAGAGAUCUUUUGCUUUGUCAUGGACUAAUGGUCUUCUUGAGCCAGCUGGUUUGUUCUGGCAAAUCCCACAUAGUUAGAAGUCUGAACCAUGUCCGCAUUAUUUAAUUGGUUAAAUGAGCUUGCUCCAUUCUCUCACAAUUGUUUUCUUUUUCAAAAAAUAACCAUAGGAAGGAUGACAUGAUCUCUAAAAUGAUUGCCCAUUAUGCACGCGAUGGCAAGAAGAGCAUUUAUUUCUAUCCACGAUUCAAAAUCCCAAGAAAGUGUCUUGAAGCAUAUCCUCACAUAAACUUGAAAUUGGGUUUGAUGGAGAUGGUAUUGGUGAGCGAUCCAAAGAACCACAGUUAUUGAUCCAAGAAAAUUAUGUUUGUGGGUGAGAUCCAAGGACUCAUAAUCACCCAUUAACAACAUGGCUUUUGGGUCAACUAAAUUAAUGGUGAUGAACGGCUAUGCAUGCAAGUCAGGCACUCCAAACAUUGCUUUCACACCACACUACCACUUUCAAAAGUGGGUGCCAAAUUUUUUUUCAAAAGCUUUAUGAAUAUCCAUCAAAUAAAAUAACAAUGCCGCCACAGAGUUUGUCUUGUUAAAAGAAUGCCUCUUGGUGACUAUAAUCUAGACGGUUUUUAUCUCAAAUCCCAAAAUUAUUCAAAUUAUACAAGCUUUAACGAUUAUGGGUCUGACAAAGUCCACGUGGUAAAAUUUAAUAUAAAGGUAAGGUUAUUUGAACUCAUAAUUUUUUUUUACACCCAGUUCUCAAUAAACACAUAACAUGAAUUUAAAAAAUAAUGUUUUACUCCAUAAAUUAUCUUAAAAUCCAAAAAUAACCCUACAUUAUUUACAACUAGGGUUAUUUUUACUUACCUCCCCUGAGGUUUCACGUAAUAACAAUUUAAUAAAAAGUAUGAUGGUAUUAUUACAUCCCUCCCCUGCUAUUAGUAUUUCUGUCAGUAGACCGUUUAUGAGCCGAAAAAUGACGAAAAUACCCCUUAAUGGCUUAGAGGUACAAUUUCCCAGUUGGUGUGUUCUUCAAGUUCUAUUGAAGCCCUGAUUACAAAACCGAAUCCAAUCUCCGCUCGACGAAUCCGAUCAUUUUGGAGUCACAACCCGAUGCAAGGAAUUUGUUUCCGCUCCCAAUCUUUCUUUCAUCGAAGGCGUUGCCACUAAGGAUAUCCACAUCGAUCCUUUUACGCUGCCCUCAGUCCACAUUUUUCUCCCCAAGUUUGCACUAAACCAUCCCGAGCCUGACUCCAGCCGCAAUCAAAACCUAAACCGCGCGCGAACUCGAAGAAUGCAGAGGCGGACCUACCACGCGACCUGCUUCAUCUGUGGAGGAACAGCCACGGCUCCCCGAAUGCGGUGGUGGCUGAGGAAAGAGGAGUAUCAGAGAAGCAGCUACAGCGGCUACGGCAGUGCCGACGAGGAAGCGAUGAGUUUGAAUGGGAAAUAGGAGGGGGAAAUGGGAUGCAGAAUUAAGAAGCGUGGAAAAAGAGUACGAUGGGGACCACGAUGGGGGCCACGAUGGGGACCAUUUCCACUUGAGGCUUCAAAAUUUUCUUAGUGAAAAAUAGCUAGUAUCCACUAGCAGCACUAUAGCAAAAUUGUUUUGUUUGUGGGUUUGGUUGCUAUUGCUUUUUUCAAUAUUCAAAUAAGACGGUGUGGUGUUUCCUUCUAGAAAUCAUUGCUUCGAUCUUCCUUUUUUUUUUUAACCCCUCCCCCCUUUAAAUAAAGAAUUCAUUUAGCCACCACGAAUGUGCACAAGGGGUAUGUGCUGGUGGAUGUAAAUAGGAGGAAACUACCAGUAAUGUUGCAGUUCCACGGUAGCGGGUGGGUGAGUGGGAGAAUCGCAAGGCUCUGUGAUGUGAUUGUUGUGGUGGUUGGGUAAAGGUUGGCGCCGGAGAAUCAGUUCCCCGCUGCGUUUGAGGAUGGGAUGAAGGUGUUGAAUUGGUUGGGGAAGCAUUUUUUAAUUGUUUUUACCUUAAAUGCCAAAUACUAGUUGGGAUUAAUGGGGUAUUUUUGUCAUUUUCUUGGCUCAUAAACAGUCAACUGACAGGAAUACUAACGGCAGGGGAGGGAUGUAAUAAUAUCACCAUACUUUCUGUUAAACUGUUAUUACAUGAAACCUCAGGGGAAGUAUGUAAAAAUAACCCUUUACAACUACCAGCAAGUCGCCAACAAGUCUUCUUCUUCCCUUUGAUUCAAGUAAAAUCAAUUUGGGAAAAAUAAAAAAAAUUACAUACCACAACUAGUAAAAGAACUUGUAUAAUAUUUUCACUAGAAGUUCUAAAUGAUAGAAUGAAGUUCUUUUAUUCUGAAUUGAUUUAAUCUUUGAUUGUUUUACCCAUUUUCAGGAAGGUUUAAAAAGCUAUACUUAUGCAGAAUUUUUAUUCAAUUAAAAAAAAAAAAGCUAUACUUAUGCAGAAUUUUUAUUCAAUUAUGCAGAAUUUUUAUUCAAUUAAAAAAAAAAAAGCCCUUAAAGGUAAUUUUGUUAUAGGUUAUUUUAGUAAUAAAAACUAUUAUAAAUAAAUGGGUGCAGAGGGUAUUUUUAUGGGUUCAAAUAACCCCACUCUUCAUAUAAACAUUUAGAUGAUGAUUUACAUCCCAAAUUUGAUGAAUUUUGUACUGUGUACACUUUGAUGAACAAUAAAUUACAUAAGAGAGUUUUGAGGAUUUUACCUUCGUUUAAAAUCCAAAUCAAAUAGUUUUUAGUAGCUUUGUCUUCUUCCGACAAUUACUCUUAAGAAUCUGAAAGCAAACCGGCAACAAUGGAGAUAAAGCCAUCACACAAAAAUGCCCAAUAAAACAGUAACGGUAGCAAGGAGUUUCGCAUUAAAACGGAUACCACUAAUGAUCGAAUUAGCUUCUCAUUAUACACAUGGAAGCCCCUCUAUCUGAAUUUCGUAUAAUAAAAGAAUAUAUAUAGCAUAUUUUUUCCCAGGAGAAUCCCAAGCAAUCCAGCAAGCUAAAGAGAAGCAUGUACAAUUCUGUCUGGACAUGGUCACCUUCGAACUUGGGAUGAACCAAAUCAUAACAGCAAGACGAUGAAAGUGCUGCAUCCAGGACAACAAACUAGCUUAGUUCUGUUCUGAGCCUCUUAUGAGUGCGAUCAGAGUCCUCAUUAAAGCUCCGAACUCCAGUUUGUGCCAUUACUUGGUUGUUCUGAUAGUGCGAGUCAUUAUCCUGGAUGAAAGACAAAUAAACUAUCGAGGAGAAAAAUAAAAAAAAAGGGAGAAAAAUAAAAGGAAUUAAGGUUUCACAGAUGGACAAAAUGUAACCCAGAACUGUUAUAGUUGGAGUUUCGUAUCUUGGAAAUAAUACAGAAUCUCAGUGAUAUUGACUCUGAUGUACUGAUAGUAGAAAGUAGGUCUUAAAAGCUAGGUCGAAGAUUAUGUAAAUGACCUUUGAGCUAGAUGCCAUGGCAGUUGACCCAUCAUUAGCCCUUUUGCCAACAUCAAUUUGCACUGAGACACUGGCCUGUGACAGAUCCACACCUGAUGAUCUCAAGGCUUGGGUCAGAGCAUUCAAUAUCCUGUCAAAAUAUGAAAACAUCAAAGGGUAAUAUGUAAUAUAGAAAAUCCAGCUGAACAAUUUCUCUUUGGAUGAGACACAGGAAUGCAGAAUCAAGAACUGGUGAAAAUUAAUUGAUAGUCCAAACCACCAAUUAGAUUGCAAAUCACGAGUCAAAUUCCAUGAAACUUAAAUCUUUAAUUGGUUGAAAACAGAAAGAAGACCAUCAACUGAGCAAAAAAGGGAUUAAACUGAUUACUGAACACAAUGCAAACUUCUGAUAAAUAAAGGCUGCAAGAGAGCAUCAAAUAUUAAAAGCAUUAUACGUAAACUUCAGUCGGGAAAGACACAACAUGUAUAAAAGCAAUUAGAAGGAAUGAUUGUGAAGAAGUCUCAGGUAAAGAACACUCCACAGUGCAGAGUAUAUACAAACAUAAAAAUCUCGAAAUAAACAUGGCCAGAUACCUGAAACUCUAGAAGGACAAAUAUGUAAAAAUAUGCUAGAUUUGACAAUUAAUGCAAAAAAAAAAAAAAAAAACAAUUGUGGCUCACCCUUGAGAAUAGGCAUUUGACAUGCUAGAGGAUCCACUUUCAAUCAUCAAGUCCUGAUCAUUGAGUGCACCGUUUGGAACAGCACACUCUGUUGCACAUGAUCUUCCCUGCCACAAUUGCGUUUGGGGUUGGUAGACCAUAUUCUCAACAUCAGAAACAGAUUCCUGCAAAGGUUGGGUAGGCAUGCCACCCCUCCCAACAGGAGCAAACAUAUUCUGCUGUGCAUGCAUAUUUUGGGGAACCAUUGUAGUAGCAGACCCAGGGGAAAAAUCAGUAGCUUUAUAGGCUGCAGCUGUGUCCAAAUCAGAUUCCAUUGAAUUCUGUGGAUUUGAGAGCAUUCCAGGAUUAAUAACGCUAUUCUCAUGACCAGAACCAUUCUUUAUAACUUGGGAUUGAUCCAUAUAGGUUUCUGCAGGCCCGUUAUGGCUUCUCUGUUCAAAUAGAUGGAAAUCCAUUAGUAAUUCCACUUUGAAAGGAAACAUAUAUGAAUUAAUGUGUUUCAUAACAGUGCAUAAAGAUACAUCAAGAAAAGACAAUGAAAACACGUGCACACACAGAGGUUAGCACAGCAUCAAACACACCAAGCUCAUGAGUAGACAGAAUUAGACAUGGAUAAGGAAAAGCUUAAAUUUCUUGCAUCAUAAUAUGCCCACCACACACAUGCACACACACUCUUUAAGCAUGAAAAUUUCUACCCAUGGUGUCAACUUUGUUGGCUCUUGAGUCCACCCUUGAUAUGGUCCCUCAUACAUCUGCAACUUUUCUCGUAAAAACUGAAUGUACUCGAUCACCUGCACAUAAAUAUAGUUGUUCUUCAACUCAUUCACAAGAAUACAAAACUAAAAUGGCAAAAAGAGAGCACGCCCAAAUAUUUGUAUGCGUAGACAAAACUUGGCUGUGUGGUGUACCUCUAAAAGAAACGAAGCCUUGUCUCUUUUUUGAUCAUUUUGAGGUAUGAGAUCUCUCAACAUUUGAAAUCUGUCAUACAAAACAUACUUGUUUCUUCAGGUAGGAGCAAAUCACUGUCAACAUAUUAAUCAUACAUGAAGACUGGAGUGGCAUCUGAAAGGAGCAAAUAUAUGUGUAAUAACUGCGAAAACCAAUAUUCUGAUCUCUCCGAGUGCUAAAACCCGACAAAUAUAAUGACAGCGUUAAAAUUAAACCAAAGCAAGCAAAGCAGUAAUAAACUGACAGCAAAAUUAUCUAACAUUUUGCACCCCAGUAACAUAUCCAAGUAGUAAAGAGUAAAUUUGGCUGGAAAAGAAAGUGUCAAUCUUGAAAAUAAAUGUGCUUGAAAUUCAAAAAAUAACUCAGCUCCCAGCCAUCAAAAUCUUAAAUUGGUUGCAAUCAAUCAGCACUCUAAUUUCUUCUCUUGCAUAGCCGUCCACCUCCAGUCAUUAUUGACAACCAGCACUAAAAGACAUUAGGGUAUGAUUUAGAAAAUACAUUUUUUGACUUCUGAAACAUUCAUUUUUUAAGUCUAACCAAAACACACAGAAAAAUUACGUUCUAGAAUAGGAAAAUAGAUAAAAUUUUCAAAAGCUUAAUUCAACCAUUUGGAAAACUCAGUCCAUUUGCAGAGAAAGUAGCGCCAAGCUCCUGAAAAGCAGAAGUACCUGUCGAGUGCUCUUUGAAAAAGCACUUCAAUCAUUAUUAAUGAAUCAAAACACACUAAACACGCUCAUAAUCUCACCAUAACUCACACUUCAAAUACAUUCCUUUAACUUCAUCUCAGACGCUGAACAAACAAUUAAGAACAAAUCACUCAACAAACGGGGAAAGAAAAAAAUCAAAACUUGUACCUCUCAUUAAUCUUGCUCCUCCUCCGCUGCUCCGUCUCCGAAUGCUUCGACCGGUGCGUAGUCGCCUUCUGCUCACUACUCUUUCCCUCCCCUGCACCGAAUAAAAAAAUAAACAAAUAAAUAACACUGUAACUCACUCUUAUAGAAACACACACUUGCACGUAUACGUAUUCGUAUAUACCUUUGUACGAAGAGGAGUUGUUUCUAUUAACAUGUUUGUCGUACAAGUCGGCUUCUUCGUCCUCUUCGAGGUAAUUGUUCGAAGACUUUACCAUUUCGUGAAACUGCAGACACCGAUUCUCGAAACGACGUCGUUGCGCUGCAACGCUGACAAUUGAAACGCGGACGGUGGCCAGGGAAAUGAAGCUCCGAAUUGGCACGAGGGCCCAAAAAAAAAAAAAAAGAUAUAAUUUCUUUUGUUGUUAUUAUUAUUAUUAUUACCUUUCUUUUGUCAGCGCAGGAGUCAGGAGUCAGGAGUCAGGACAUGAGUGCUGAAGCCCUAGGCAGGACUGUUUAAAAGAAAUAGAAUUAAUUAAUUAUUUUAUUGAUUAAUUUAUGUUCAUUAAUUAAUUAUUUUUGCUUUUCGGUUUGACAUGGGUUGUUCUGGGUGUUAACAUGCGCGUGGUUAGUGACGUUUAAUUGUUGUUCAGAUAAUUAUCAUCCAAGUCCUUGUACUUGUACUUUGUUAUAAAACGAGAACAUAGUUUGUUUAUUUCAUUAAAUAGGUCCGCACGUUAGGGCGUUUAUGUCGAUUUACUAGUUCUAAUUUUGCCAAUCAAGUGGCAAAAAGGUGAAAAAGCAAAAACGACAAUAUUCAAUUGAAAGUAGAUAUUUUUAUUUCAUUGGUUUGCGAAAGACACGAAUCAUAACAAGUUCUUCUUACACUCCAAAUAUAUUUACUCCGUCACGAGUCGAGUUUUACUUCUGGCAUUACGAAAAUCUUAUAUCAUCAACGCUACCCUAUGAGUAUAAUGAACACCUUGUUUUGAUCAGUACUAUCUUUUGCCACCCUCAUAAUGUAUUUUUGUGCACAUCUCAAUUCCCCAACGCACCAAUAGUUCUUGGUUACGCAGCUUACACGUGCCUUUAUCAUCAUCAGCAGAAGCGUAACUUAUGAACAGAUGAGAAAUGGUUAGCUGCAGCUACUAUUGCUGCCUCUGGCGAGGAAGAUGUUACAGUCGUUGCACUUUUAGAUGUUUCGGUAUCGGCGGUUGCAUGGAAGAGCGAAGAAAGCAACUUUAAGAAAGAUGUGCACCAUAUAUCUUUGCUCAUCUUGAAAUGGAUACUUAAAAUACAAAAAAGUUUAUGAAUAUUGAAGGAAUCAAGAACGUGCGUGAGGCAAAUAAUUGGCUACUUUAAAACUUCUGAGGAUUGUGCGCGCUUCGGCUUUGUUCGAUUUUAGUAAGGCGUGCAAUUAGCCAUUUAUAUAGAACAGGUUUCUUGGGGAUCAAGUGGGGUUGACCGCUGAAACUGGAAAGAUUUUGCUCACUUUUCUUCUCAUGCAUAGUUUCUCAGUAGUUUCUAGACUGCGGUUGCAUGGAACGUCAAUUGUGUUGAUUAGAAUCUGCCAAGUACUUUCUGUUCUUUGGCCCACUGAAUAGUAACAGAAGCGCUUCUGGUGUACAUACUGCACGUUAGGACAACUGAAUAGUUGUAACCCACCAUACCUGGAGAUGGCCUUCCAGACAAGAUAAUAAGUGAGAAUGUGAGUCCGUGAGACGGACCAUUAACAUAUUGGGUUUCCAACCAAACUAAAAAUAAUAUGUAAGCCAUAAACUGAUGCUUUCAACCACUUUCAUGCACAGAAUAUGCUAUACAGAGAGGACAACCAACACCACUAAACCAAGGAAAAUAUUCAUGCAUAUAUAUUAAGAAUCGGAGAUGGUGGGUGUAACCACCAUAUAGCAAAAUAAGAGAACCACAAAAGAACUAUUUCAGCUUUCGCAAGAGUGGUUGUUCACUCAAAAGUUUUACAAGAGCAAAGUUUUCUCAUCACAACUGGAAACAAAAAGAAGAUGAUGACUAAGGCUCAGAACUGUGCUUUCAACUUAAUACGACUGUCGUGAUUUAGUGAAACAAGAUUAAUUUAAAUACAUAAUGUUAAUUGAAUGCAUUGGCAGCAAAGGUUAAGCUACACACAAAAAGAUUUUGUGUAUUCAAUAAAGGAUUAAACACGAACAUCUAUUUCUACUCUUGACCAUGUUACAUUAGUUUCCAGCAUAAAAUAGCUUCGGAAAAUUAGAGGGACCUUCCUAAGAAUGACAAAUCAAACUUAGUAUUCUAUUGAAAACGUCCUAGGCUACAACCUAGACUACAUCAAAACUGGUUGCGGGUUUAAAUAGACACUCACUUUUCACAAAGAUGGCUUGACCUAAAUUGCAUAAUCCAAUGCAGUAGUAUAAGUGCUUCAUACCAGAGCUGAUGGAUGUGAACUGAUACAAGCUAAGGUCACGGACCAGAGUAACGCAGUUCUGGAACUACAACCAGAAAUCUUGCUUCUUUUCCAAAACAGAAGCCGAGACUCUUCAAUGCUCCUUCAUAUUAGCGAAUUAAACUUGGCAAAAUUUUACAUAACUGCAUACAAAGCUGAAAAUGUACCACUGGAGAGACCAGUACCGUAUCUAAAAUAGGCUCUCACUAUUUUUCUCCACUCUCUUCUUCCUGAUCCUCCAAUUGAGCUUCUUCUUUGUUUAUUUCUCCACCACCACUUUCAUGAUUUGAACCAUUAUGCCUGAAAAAUAAUCCAGACGAUGAGGAAUCAUCUUCGUCAAGGUCCUCUUCACUCUCCUUGUCUUUCGACCUUGAGAUUAUUUGACUGUCCAUCCAAGCAGGGCAAUGGUGUACAGCACCAAGUGUAGCUUGAAGUUGGGAGUGAGAAGGACUUGAAGCAUUAACAUACGAUUCUGUAGGAUCAUAUUUCAAGCAUGAACAUUCAGGGACUGGAUGUGAUAGAACUGACAAUGACUUUGACUUUGUGGAUGCUUCUGUCAGUCCAUCAAGCAAAGAUCUUCUUAGAUGCUUGCGUAUAGAUGUUACCCAGGUAUGGUUUGCCUGAUACAAGUGGUCUCUAGUCUCUUCUAACAGCUUGACAACUUUUCUCCUGUGUUGACAGAAGCAGAAGAUAAGAAAUAUAAAUAUAUAUGUGUCCAAAAAUAUGGAAAGACUUUUGAAGAUGUUGAAGGAAAGGUUAGAUUAGUUAAUCUCUCAACUAAUAAAUACAGUUCAACCAAUACAACCUCUAGUUUGCUAUAAUACAUGCUCAUAGAUAUAUCCAAGCUAUAUGAGAAUGAUUUAUACUAAUACCAUUGUAGAUUUCUACUGGGUAUACAGGUAUGCACAGAUAAAGGCAUACCUAGAAGGUUUAUACAAGGAGGAGAUCCAUUACUGAUCCAGAAUUAAGUCAAAAAAUCAAAGAACUUCAAUUGCAGUGUGUGGAGGUAACUUGGUUACACUAUUUAAUCAGUGUAAGAGUGCAAGAUUAGAAAAAGAGCAGCAUUUUAGGGAAGCACAGGAGGACAAUAAAUGGAUUAAUGAGUUUUCAGAUUAGCAGCCUUCUCAUUUGUACAUUUGCAUGUGAUGGUUGGGGGGAGGGGUGGUUACAGUUCCCUCUUCUCAAAAUAAUAUACACUUGUAUGAUAAAACUAUAAAUGUGUAUGCACACUUCUGAAUAAAGACUAUUACCUGUCAGGUCUGUAUGUUUUUGAUGAAGCUGACUGAUAAAGCCGGUGCCCCAUCACCAAACUGGCGAAAUUUGGAUGUCCCUUACCAUCUCGGUCGAAUCCAGGGAUGAAAACAUCCGCUUCAACACAAACCAUAUAAUCAAUUGCUUCCCAUAGUAAUUUAUGGGCAUUUGUUCUCAGCUCCAUCACUGUACUUUCAGGCUCAUUAUCGCUCUCAGCCACCCAGCCCCACCAGCCUUCAAUGUUGUAUGACUUGGGACGAGCCGGAGGGGGUGGAAGUGGGCGAGGUCGGGGACCAACAUUUUUCCAUGACUCAUGCUUCUCUUCUUCCUCAACGGAUAGUGGAGUCUUUGGAUCUAUAAGAUUAGCCUCACGGCCAUAAAUUCUAGUGAGCUCCCAAGCAGUGCUGAGGGAAGUCCUAUCAACAACAUUUGCAAACAUUGCAUGAAGAGGAAUUAGUGUCCUCUGGCCACCAAAAACUUCUCCACCAGAUACAUAUAUUAUCGUGUCCCACGAGUAUCCAUAUGCGCGAAGAAGAAUGCCAACCUGUAGAUAUCAGAAAAUUUUAACCAAUCAUUUUUAUGUAGUGGUAAACAGAAAGAUUUAUUGGGAGAGCCCUAAAAAAUCUCUAUGUAAGAUCUCUCCAAUGGGUAAAUCAGAUUGGAGAAAGAAAGAAAGCAUCAAAAUGAAUGACGACUUGGGCACAACAUAAGCAUUCAUUCUUUUGUGUGCAAUAAAGUACCAACCCAGAAGCAUAUGAAAUCCACUGUCCCAAAUAAUUUCUCACCUCUUCUGGCAUUAACGGACAUGUACCAUUCAGGCGUAGUUCCAUUGAAUUUACAGAUAGUUUCCCUCUGACCAUCCUACGUUUUAUCAUCCAAGCUCGUUUAUGCUGAAUGAGUUCAGUGUGGACAUCCUUAGGAAGAGCUCCAAAAUAGAAUAACAUGUCAAUGCCAGGUAAGCUUCAAUCACAAAGGCAUAUAUAAUUCAAAUAAUCCAGCAUGCCUUCAGGGUUUGAAAAGGUACCUGGAAGAGCUCAGCACAACCAUGAUAUGCUAAAGCAUCUCUAAUCAUCCCAGGAUCAAAGGCUAUAAAUGGCCUUCCAGGAGCUCGUAACCUAAAAUCAAUACCACUAUCACUCGCAUCUGAAAAGCUAAUAAUAAUUCUGUGUGAAUUGUAGCAAUGAGGGUAGACACUGACCUACGCAAAAUUCUAGUUGCAAGCUCCUGGACCUCUUGUCGGAACCGAAGGGCAUGGAAUGCAACCCUGCAUCUCAGCCUUUGGUAUUCUUCAAGAUGCGGUGGAAGACUGGCCUGACUCAGAUCCCAGAGAAAACAAUAGCUCGUUAAUACAUAAACUCAACCAUGAUUUGACAGAAUAAUGAAAGUGAAUAAGAAUAUUGAAGUCCCAGAGAUUGAGAGAAGAAAGAUUCCCCAUCAUUUUCACCAUGCAACACCAGAUACAAAUAUUCGUGCAUAGAACAGAUAAGAAACCACUAGGGAAAAGAUCUGCACAAGAAAAGUCAUGCGACUGGUGUUUUAUCUAAAAACAGAAAUCUUUAAAUUAACCAUGUAAAGUAGGAUCAAGUAAUCUUUGAUCCACAAAAAUCUCAAGAAUCAAUAAACUACACUUUCCUUUUCAUUUUCUUUGAAAUUGUUAUCUAACUUGAGAAAGAGAAUAUAUCAGUUAGCCUUGCAGAUGAAUUAGGCACAGAAUAGUAGAAAAGGUUCAAACUUGAGUCAUUAGCUCAAAGAAAAACAAUUCCUUUCAUUACCUGCAAGCAUCCACCAUCAGAAACAACUAGUUCAACAACUGAAUGCUUGAUCAAAACGGGAAGAACAUGAUGCAAAUAAAAAUACGGUGAAGCCGAGUAUGACACUCUAAACGAUGGAAUCUUCUUCUUUCUCCUUGCCCCUUUAAGAUUUUUUGGAAGCGUUUUUACAAUGUUAAUAUCUUUUGCUAACGCUGCCAUGAACUGUUCCUCAUUGUAGAGAUAUGCAAAACUCUUAAACUGAGAGCUGCAUUAAACAAGUGCUAAAUUAAUUGAAAAGAAAAGGCUAACAGUUAUAUAACUAUUACCAAAAAAAAAUUCAAAUUGCACCACUCAUAUUAAAGAAAUGCAACCUGAUUCCUUUACUACUUGUGGUUGACUGGAUCUCAGGAAUGACUAAAGUGGCAUUUAGAAGACGAGCAACCACAACAACAUCAGAUAUCUGAAACAUUUAGGAAAAAAGUUAUUACGUUGAUUAAAUUAGAUGUAUGGAUGCAACUGAAAAUAUGCAAUUGGGACAAUAUCCUUACAGAGUUCCUGAUCUCAUGGAAGCCGCCUUGUAUUCUCACAAAGAUAAACCCAUUUGCCCGAUAACUGGGAUCUGUUAGAGAUAUGCUUUCAUUAUGUGCUCAUUAAUGCUUAAACCAUGAGUACAAAAUAUAGAGAAUUGAAAAUGCAUCUGAAACUGAAAAUUUUCCCCUCUCAUAACACUCCCCUUUCUUCUAUCUUUCACUACAAGUAGAUUGAUAGAAGAUCGAAAACUAUAAUCAUCAACAUCAAAUUCGAGAAAGAUAGAAGUAUAUUAAUAGGGGAUACAGUAAUAAACUUGAGUAAAAGCACAAUAUCUAAAACCAUUUCGUAUUUUGCAGGACAAUUUAUCUUACAAUAAGCUAUUGACAAACUAAAAAACUAUAAUUUUCACGCUAAGCAUAUAUAAGAUCAACCACCUUUGAGCAGAAGUCUUUCAACAGCAUAAAAACUAUAAACAAGAUGCGAAAAAGAGCUAACCAGCAUAGUAUCCUCUGGGACUCGCAUCUGGAUGUAAAGAUUCAAGUCUCCUUACUGGACCCCAUAAUCUUCUAUACAAUGGACUCUGCUCAAUAGAUACAUAGAAAAAACAAUAAGGAGAAAGAAACAUAGAAAACCAAAAAUGGAUCCGAAAUAACAUCUAGAAACCAAAACAAAAAGGAGAAUCAGAUUUUUUCCUCUCAGUAACCGAACUGGAUCCAAAUAAAGCCCAAAACAUUCAACAAUCAAGCAACACAAUAGACACAUGUCCAUUCAUGUAGCAACAAAAGAAUCUGCCCGCAAUUGGCACUCAGUUAACAUAACCCAAAAAUCAGAGGAAAAUAAAACCUUUAACGCCGGUAGUGUAAAAAAAUUUCAACUUGACAUGAUAUAAUCACCAUGUAACCAAACAGACAAAAUCAUAGCAAAGCAAAAAUAGAGAGAAGAAUAAAACUGAGAUCUUUGUGAUUUAGAAGCAGCUAAAAUGGUACACAUUGCUUACAGUUUUAGAGAACUCAGCAUUUUCAAAAAUGGGUCGCCAAGAAAAGAUUGUGACUGAUGAUUGGUACUCUGAAACGCCAUCUUCAGUGAAUCUUGCGAGAAAAAUAUGAACUAAAAGAGAAAAAGUAGAUAGAAUUAGUCCAAUUAAGCCUACCCAUUUCAUUUUAGACUUAAACAUCAUCUUCCCUUCUCCUUUCAUUUCUCUUAUUCACUCAAUGAAAUCUCUCCAUGAACCAAAUUAAACAAAGCUUCAGUUGAAGCAGGAGAAAAAUGAACUUGAAAAGUCAAGGAAGUCAGUGAGCUUGAGACAAUGAAAUGUGCCACGUGUUUGAACUUGUUUUUGGAUAAUAACAUCUAGUUACCUCAUUUUCUUCAACAUUUCCAAGACAAGCAUAAUAUUUUUAUUUGCACUAAAUAGGUUGUUCAUAAAAAAAUGUAUAUGUUUAGUAUAAUUUAUUCAAUAAUUAUAAUUAGUUAUUUAAUUUCAUAAAUUUUUUAAUUUUUAAUUUUUUUAUAAAAAUUUUUGAGGAGUGUAAAAAUUAUUUUGUAUCUACAAAUAAAUUUUUAAAUUUUAGAUUUUUAGGAGUUAAUGUUGAAAUUUUUUUUAAAUUGUCAAAAUAUUUUUUAUUUAUUUGAUAAUUUUAUUUCAUUCAUUUCAUAAUAUGGCUUUAAAAGACUUAUCUAUUGAAAUAAUUUUAUUAUUUCUAAUAAAAUCUCUCAAACUAAUAUCUUGAUCAAAUAUAAGUAAAAUUUACUAUAAAAACAUAUUUCACAAAUGAGAUAUUUACUUUUAAAAAAUAGAAAAUGAUUUUCUCACCAAACAUCAAAAUAGGGAGGAUGUAUACUGUAUAAAAUGUUAUUUGGAUAAAAGUUUAGGACCUAUAUGAUAUAAAUGUAUAACAUAUGUAAUUACAUAAGAAUUGUAAAAGAGUAGGAAUCCAAAUGUUAUUACCCCGUCUUGAAAAUGCAAGCUAGACCAGACGGUGUUGAGUUGUAGCGAUCAGACAUGCUAUUGUUUUGAUAUCUAGUUUAACAGAAUGAAUUAAAAUUUCUCACUCACUAAGAUGGCGCGUGGAUUGUAAGAACCAAUAAAAUGGAAGAAAUUUGGAUUCUUCAAGUGGAGUGUCUUUUUUUUUAAAUAAAAAAUAAAAAAAUAAUGACUCCUUUUUUGUUCCAGUUGAUCAUGAAGUUAGGGCUUCUUGAUUGGGUAAAGUUGACAACACACAGCAAAUUGCUUAGAAUUUUUUUUAUCAUUAUUAUUUUCCUGGGGAUAUAUGUUAUCUUAUCCCCAAUCAUAAUCUCGAUUAUAGGUUUACAACCCAUAUUUCUUAUGCAAAAUAAUAUCAUAUUGAAACUAUUUCAAAUCUUAAUUUGGAACAUUGUUAUAUUGUGUUAUUCAUUGCCGUCGUGAUAUAUGUAAGCAUGAGGUACAACAAAUUUACUACCGAUUACAAAAGAAAUUUCAAACUUUCAUUCCUAGUGAGCACUCUCCUAACCAACGCUUCUUGAUCCUUCAACUCCCAAUGGCACCAUCGUCCUAAUGUGGAACCCCAAAAUGGCCCCCAAUUUUUAAUUUACGAAGUUCUAUAUGAACAAAAGUUAAACAAAUCAAAAUUGGGGCAAACCACUUAAAAAUAAGGAUGAUAAUAGACACCACCCCGCUAUAGGUUUAUCAUUAUUAAAUCCACACCGCAAAAAAUAUAAAUUACCAAACCCACCCACAACGGAUUUUUAUUUUUUAAAGAAUAAAAACUCAUCUACUAUGGGUUUGUACGGAUUUUCUCAUUUAAAAUCAUAAAUUUAAAAAAAUAUUUUUAAUAAUUCAUAAAAACUUAAAUUAUAUAAUCCAAAUUAUAAUUUUAUAACAAUGACCUAAAAAUUCUACAUACAAUAUUCAAUUUUAGAUUUUAUCAAUGUAAAUAAGAAAUUAAAAUUUCAACAUUGAAACAAAUACAUAAAAUAUUUCUAUUGUAAACAAAUCAUCAUCACUAAUAUCAAUGUCUUUCUCCACCUUUUAAUCAAUAUACGAGUAUUAUCAAUAAUAUUAAUAAGUAAAUUUUAUACAACUACCAUUAACAAUUAAUUAAACAAUAAAAACUCAAUUUUAUUUAGUAAUCAUUAGGUUCAAGUCAUUAGAGCAAAACAAAUAAAAUCAAUCAAAUUAAAAUAAAAUAUCAAUAAUCUUAAACUUUAAAAUUAUAAAACUUCUACUUAUUAAGAGUUUAUUAGAUAUGGUACAAUGAGAUAAGUUAGGUUUAAAAAUUAUAAACUUUAACUUAUUUAUUAGUAAUAUUUUGAAUGUAAUUUUAUGAUUGAAAAUAAAAAAAAAUAUAAAUAAUCAAAAUAAAAAUUUGGCCAUGCGGGUUGGCGAAUAGCUACACUUGUGUUCGGUAGAUUUUUUUUUUCUCAAUAUCAUACCCACCCCCAACCUACAAGGGGUAUAAGUUAAAAAUACUAAAUCUGCUGACAAUUCACAAAAUUACUCGCAGUGGGUGGGGUUUUACAGGCGGAUUUGAUCGAAGAAAUAAAUGCCGAUUGUUGCAAACUAGAUGGACCUCUGCUUUUAAGUAUAAACUACGUCUUUAAAUUACAAAGAGCAUCUCUUAAAUUUGAUCGAAAAAACAAUGGCUUUGAGUAUCGUCAAAUAAAGUGUUAUCCGACCUUCGAAAACCUUCAUAAGACAAAUUCAAGAAGAUCAUAAUAUUACAUUCUUGUCAAAUAUCAAUGUCACCGUAGCACUAUAUAUCACGUGAAGGAGGUCAUUUGUCGCAUAAAACCAUCAAACAAAGGACUAGCAACAGGUGCAACAUGAUCGGCCCUUUUAUCAUCUAAAAUUAUUGUCGUUUUUUAAUUCGAGAAGAAAUAUUGUCAUAUGGGUAGACAAGAAAAUGACUUAUUUUGUACCCACAUAUGAAAUUAAAUGUGGGAGAAAAAGUACUUUUAUAAAAAGGAAUUAAACGUAGCAUUAAAUCUGGAAGGAGAAAGAGACAAGCAGUUGAAAAUGGGCACUGUGUCAGAAUUCAGAAAGUACCUUUUUUAAAAAAAUAAAUAAAAUUGGAUGGGGUUGCUUGUUGUUAAUGAGAUUUUAUUUACCUGAUUUGAAAAUUAAAAUAGUAUGGAGCAGUUCAAAGAAAUUUCACUGCCGUUGCGCCAGAUUACUUGCUUGCAUGCAAAUAAAAAGAUCAACAAGAAAACAACAGAAGUUAAUGAUUAAAUGAUAAGUUAAAUUACAAGUAAUUCAAAAAAGUUUGAAAAUUUUCAGCUUUCUUACUCAUAAUUCUAUUGAAAAUUUCGGAAAGUUACCUUGGGAUAUAUGGAGGCUGUCUAAUGAAUAGUCUUAUUUUUUAUAAUAAAAAAAAUUUCUUUCAAAUUAAUAAUGAUAAUUUAACUCGAUCGAUAAGUCAAGUAGGUUAUUAUUAUUAUUUGUUUAAUUAGCAUGAAGAGUGAUUCUAAAGCUUAUUUGAACUGAAUAGAAUUUUUUUUUAUCAUAUAUGGAACAUAAUGCCUGCUAAUCCAAUGGGCAAUGUGGUUGGUUUUUUUUUUUUUUUUCAUACAGGACUCAAUAUUUUUAUUUUUUUUAAUAAUUAUAAGUGGAAGUAGGAUUCGUUCUUAUUUUUACACAUUUCUAAAUUAUAUUCAAUUGACCUAAAGCUUAUGUUAAAUUUACAUAAUUUUUUUUUGCUUCUGUUAAAGACAUUAAAUCUCAAGUAAAUUUACAUAAUUUUUAUUUGCCAUCAGAGAGUCUCAAUAAACUUACGUACUAAAUUAGGUAAUAUGAAGAUAUUUGUAAUGUAAUAUUAAAAUAUAACAAGUUUCACAAAUGUAUUGAUUUUUUUUAUUUGAUUAAAAGUCAUUAACAGAAACAUUUUGGGCCACUAUACAGCCCUUUCUAGCCCAAAAAACCCUUGUAACCCAAAGCAGUAUCCAUAACUUCAAUCUCCACAGCCCACAUGAUUUAACGGUCCAAAUUCCAUCUUUUGGGCUAUCAGUUACGUGAUCGCAACAGUCCAUAAAUUUCCAAUUUUUUUUUAAUUGUUUAUCCAUUUGCAAAUUCAUCAAGUAAUUAAUUUCCCCGCUAUAAAUCUUUCCCAAACUGACACCGCACCAAGUCCCGCCACGUGAAUAGGUGUCCCCACAGGAUGGGCCAUCAAGUACGUGGCUGAAUCUUCAUGCAAAUGGUGUCACUGCCGCCCAGUAUUUUAUUUGUAAAUUAUCCGUUUUGCCCCUCUCCGUUUCUACUGAAAAGGGGGUUUAGAAUUAUCUCCCAAAAGCGGGAGAGAGAGAGGAAAAAGAAGAAAGGAAAAUAAAUGAGAUCGAAUCACAGCCGUUGAUCAAAUUAGUCAGAGUGAAUCUCGACUCUACAUCUCAUCAACGGCGCUUACUCCCCGCUCGGCCCGCCUUCCGGUUCCUGAUCUCAUUAUUCUCCAGUGAGUUCUCUUAUUUCGCGCCUUUUCAGUGAUCCUGUUAACUUUACGUUUGUUUCCCGAUGGAAUUCGCAACAUUUAUCGCAUUUCAUAGUUUCAGUAUUUGAAAAACCGUUAUAACGGUUUUGAUCCUAUCUGAUAAUAUCAUUUGGAGCGUAAAUUUGUAAAAAUCGUGCUUUUAGGUGUGUUUGCUGACACAACAUGAUUUAUUUGAAGGUGAAAAUCAUGUUGAAUGCCGUUUUGGUCUGCAUUUUCGAUGGUACUAUGGAUAUAUUUAUAAAAAAACUGUUUUUUUUUUGUUUGAUUAAUUGUUUGAACUGGAUAAUCGGUUAUUAAUUAUCUUUUUAAUAUUUUUUAAGAGCCGGGAUAAUUCUUUUUUAAUGCCUGUCAGUUGCAAUUAAUUAAUAAAUCGUUUUAGUAAAAAAUAGGUCGCUUAUUACGGAAGUUGUUUUAUUUAGGAGAAAAAGGGAACUUGGUUCUCUAAUACGGGAAUCUAGCCGUUCACAAAAGACGGCUUUCAAGUUGUCAAGAUAAAGAUUGCCAUAAUGCCAUAUGCUUGCUGAUAUGAGUAUUUAUUUACUUGUUUGUCCACUUGUUUAUUUAACUUCCAACGUUCCAUGUGAAUCCUUGUAUUUUCGCUCACCAAAAGAGCAGCAGAUUUUUGGAGGGUAAGUGUUGUUUGAUCAACAGAAGCUUUUCUUGUCGCCCAUUUCAAGUUAAUGGGGGCACAAAAUGUUUUUUUUGCCCUUCCUUUUUAAUUGGGUGUCUGGCGAUUCUUUUACCCAUCAAUUAGCCGGCAUUUUCAGGUUGCUCCUCCGAUGUAGCUGAAUCGCUUAGUUUCUACACAAGAGAAAUCUGUUUCAAUGUGACAAUCAUGGAAGCAGAUUGAAAUUUACUAUUAUGACUGUUUACAGCACAAACAUUGCCCUCCAAUCAUUGCCAGCAUUUGAGUUUGGCGUCUGCUUGGGAGAAAAGCUCUCUGCUGUCGCUUUCUCUGCUGCUGGCUUUGAACUUUACAGUUUCUCCUUUUCCUUUCAUGUCUCAUAAUUGGGACUGUCCUGUAAAUACCCAGAUGGCUGUUGCAGCGUUUAGAGGAGGUAUUAAUGGGGAGCAUGGUGGGAGUAAGAGAAUGGAAAGCCAACACUCUGGAAAGAGGCGUGUGUUUGUUCAAACUGAGAUGGGCUAUGUUUUGGGCAUGGAGUUAGAUAGGAGUGACAAUGCCCACACGGUGAAAAGGAAAUUACAACUUGCCCUUGAUGUGCCAACUGAGGAGAGGUCACUGAUUUAUGGGGAUACAGUGCUAAAGAAUGAUCUCAGUUAUGUUAGACAUGAUUCUCCACUUCUUCUUACCCGGAACUGUAUGCACAGAAGUUCUUCUACCCCAUGCCUCUCACCCACUGGAAAGGAUCUUCAGGAAAGAGAUCUCAGUGGUCCAAUUGAGAUAUUGGGAUACUCAAAUCACUUUUCCACAGCAAAACAGCUGGUCAAGGAAAUUGUUAAGGCAAUGAAGAAGGGGAUUGAUCCAAUUCCUGUCCAUAGUGGGCUUGGAGGUGCAUACUAUUUCAGAAAUUGUGCGGGUGAAAAUGUUGCUAUUGUGAAGCCAACAGAUGAGGAGCCUUACGCCCCAAACAAUCCAAAAGGUUUUGUUGGCAGUGCUCUUGGGCAGCCAGGCCUCAAACGUUCAGUUCGGGUUGGGGAGACAGGAUUCAGAGAAGUAGCAGCUUACCUGCUUGACUAUGAUCACUUUGCCAAUGUGCCCUGCACUGCCCUUGUGAAGGUCACACACGAGAUCUUCAACAUCAAUAAUGGAGUGAAUGGAAAUAAGAUCCGCAAGAGAAGGCAGGUCAGCAAGAUUGCAUCAUUGCAGCAGUUCAUCCCUCAUGAUUUUGACGCAAGUGACCAUGGGACUUCAAGCUUUCCAGUUGCUGCUGUGCACAGUAUUGGGAUCCUAGAUAUUCGGAUUUUGAAUACAGAUAGACAUGCCGGAAAUCUCUUGGUCAAGAAGUUUGAAGGAACCGGGAGCUUUGGUCAAGUGGAGCUUGUACCCAUCGAUCAUGGACUUUGCCUUCCUGAAAACUUGGAGGACCCAUACUUUGAGUGGAUUCAUUGGCCACAGGCGUCAAUUCCUUUUUCAGAGGAUGAGCUUGAAUAUAUUAAUCAGCUUGACCCAUUUGGGGAUUCUGGAAUGCUUAGAUUGGAACUGCCCAUGAUCCGAGAGGCGUGCCUCAGGGUUUUGGUUAUUUGCACCAUUUUCCUCAAGGAGGCAGCAGCUUUUGGUUUAUGCCUUGCAGAUAUAGGUGAGAUGAUGAGCAGGGAAUUUCAAGGCCAUGCAGAGGAGCCAAGUGAGCUUGAGUUUAUUUGUAUUGAGGCUAGGAGAUUAUUAGAGGAGAGUAAACCGCUCUUUGAUCAUGGAAAAACAGGAGAUAAUGAAGAAUUUCAGUUUGAGAUUGACUGUGAGGAACGGGAGUUUGAUUUGACUUUGAAUAUGGAAGAGAAAUUAUCAUCAAAAUGUUUAUCUUCCGGGUCAAAAGGUGUAAAUGGUCAGAAUUCACUUUACAGGCUGGAGGAGAGUGUGGAGGAGGAGGGAGAGAAUGAAGGGAAUGUGACUCCUUUAUGUUUAGAGGAUUCUGCUCCCCCUGUGUGGCACAUGGGUCCAUCUUUUUCAAAGCUGUCCGUGUCUUUAAAAAACAUCACUAUCGGUGAAAAGAGUUGGCGACAUGAGGGAACAAUGCAGAAAAAUGGCUAUUUGGCUGGUACGUCAUCUGGAAACAUGAGUGUGCAUGAGCACCUACCAGCAAGCACUAGUUUUGUGAAGCUGGCUGAUAUGAACGAAGAGGAGUGGGCUCAAUACCUUGAGAAAUUCCAGAAGUUGCUCUACCCAGCUUUUACUAAUCAUAAAUCAGUGAGUGUAGGUCAGAGGCAGAAACAGAGGCUUGGAGCUUCAUGCCAGUUUUAAGGAGUUAAUAUUACAGGUUAUAGGAAUCGGAACACUGAAAUUUUAUGUAGGGUCAUGAAAGCCCCAGAAAUGUAGGUGGCCCUAUUCUAUGUAGCGGCUUAGUUGGUGAUUUGGAGUUGCACUUGGAUAAAUGGCUACAUUCAGAUGAUUAUAGCUCCUACUUGUUGGCUGCUGAUGGAUGCACCGUGUUUUUAUUUCCCUAUGUUGCUUUCUUCCAUUUCGCGAUUUUCUGUUUUUCUAAUAACUUUGGCUUGGAUUUCUCUGAUACCCUAGUCCAGUUGUGUUAACUUCAAUAGAAAUGAGAGUGAGGGAAAUAAACUAUGUGUACAAUAAUGUUAUCUGCUUCAAAAUGCAAACAGUCCUGGCUUGUAUAAGUUUCUUUUGCAAAAAGAUUUUAGUUGUCUUCCAUACUAAAGUUUCAUUGGCUUUCUAAUUAUGUAUAUGUUUGCUUCUAUUUGCAUAUGUUCUUUAAUCGUUAUUAAGCUUCUUGGCAAUGGCCUAUUGCGUUACUACCAACUCUGUUAUGUUGUUUCUACAAUGGAUUGACAGAAGGAGAUUGAAAAAUGCCUGAGGCUCUUUUGUAUCAUUUGACAUAGAUUUGAAUAAAAUUUUCUCCAUUAAGUAUGUACGUAUGUUCUGCAGUUUCUGCUUUGCUUCAGACAUAUUCGCCUGGAGGAGAGAGAAAUGGUUGAAACUUACUUCCUAAACCAAAUUAGAUUUGAAACCUUGAAGCAGAUUAUGAGAAAAGAAACAUUGGGGUGAUUCAGCACUCCUCGUGCCUCUCUUUCACUUCAGCCAACUUACUAAGCUCAACCUGUUGGUCUUCUAUCCGGCUUACUGCUCGUGAAAAUUCUCCAUCGGCAAAAGACAUAGUGUCUUGUUUAGCAAGGUGUCUCUGUUUUAUCUUCAGCAAGGCCUGUGUAACUUCUCCUAUUGAAGGUCGCUUUCUUGGUGUUUUGUGCAAGCAUUUGUGACCAAUUCUAGCCAGCUCUCUUACUUCUUGAAUAUUGCAUGCUCCAACUAGUUGCUUAUCAAGUAUUUCAUCCACUCCAUCUUGACUCAUAGAUGCCUUCAAAAGAAAAGGACAAAAUGCAACUAUCAUAAUAGGUUCAGGUUGAUAUGAUUAAUUUAGAGGUACUAGAGGACAAAGAUUCUAUAACAGAAAAUAGAAGACUUACAAGAUUCACGUAUUCCAUCAAGUUUUGGUGUGGGUGGAUGGCUGUUAUGAGCUCAAAGAUGAUAACGCCAAAACUGAAGAUAUCACUCUUCAUUGUGAACUUGUUUGUUGAAAUGUAAGCAGGGUCUAUGUAUCCAUAGGUACCUUUGAGGCCAGAGUUCCGACCAUCAAAGACCUCUUCUUUUGACAGCCCGAAAUCAGCAACCUAUUAUACAGCAAUCGUAAAGGUCAAUAAGCCAAGGGAAUUUAGAUGCCUAAAACUGACGCAUGAAACAACCAUAAACCCCACUUUCUUCCUUUCAAGGUGUUGACUAAACUGAAAAAGGAAAUUACUAAAAUACUAUGUUAUCUGCAUUUUCAAUCCGAUCUUCUGAUAAUUUCCAAUUAAUGUCUAACAAUGGAAGAAGAUGCAUGCUUUCGAGUGCUAGCUCACCUUAGCUCUCAUGAAGUGGUCCAGUAGUAUAUUAGCAGACUUUAAAUCGCGAUGAAUAACAGGUGGCACCGCCUGUUCAGACAAUUAUCACAUGAAGGGCUUAGAAUAGAUGAGUCAUUUAUUUCGCCAAGAAAACAUGACAUUAUAUCAUUACAAAUACCCCUUCAUGAAGAUACUCAAUUCCAUGUGAUAUAUCAAGAGCUAUUUGAAGCCUUUCUUCCCAAUUCAAAACCCGUUCUUCACCUGAAUGCAUGAACAGCAGGAUGUUUUCAACAGAAGUUUCAGCAAAUGAUAAGCUACAGUUCAACAUAAUUCUGCCAUUCAAUGGCUUUUGUGUGGGAAUAUUUUUCGUAUUAAGUAUUCCAAUAUGCAGUUAUCACAAGGAAAGAAAUUCUCAUAAAACAUAAAAUGUAGGCCUUUAAGCUUACUGUAUAUAAGGUUUGACAAGCUCCCAUUACUCAUAAACUCGUAAAUCAGCAUGUAUUUUCCUUUAUCUACACAAUAUCCUAUCAAAUUCACAAGAUUCCUAUGAUGCAAUCGUCCCAGCAGACUUACCUGCAAAAACACCAAGCAAUAUAAUGGAAGACCAGGGGUGGUUCAAGCAUAAAUACAGAAGAAUCUUGAAACUAAUUUAGAAACCUGAAGAAAAAUGGAUAUAACUCGCGACAAUUGGAACUUCUCCAUAAUAAAAUGAACACUCUAUGUAAUAAUGUAAGAGAAAUAGGAACACAAAAUUGUUGGUCAGGCAAUGUCUAGAGAUUUUUUGCUUUAUCCAUUUUCUCCUAAAUGAAAACUAACAGGGAUUAUCCUUAAAACAAUUCCGAACAGAAUAAAUUCAAAAUAUUCUUCGCCAACUAAAUAAAUUCAACUGUUCUUGGGGCAUAAGAAUAAAACAUUCUAUCUGCAAAUCAAUAAUUUGUGAUGCAUGGUUCUCUCAGGCAAUGGGCUGGUGAAAAAUCAUAGAUUUGAAAAAAAAAUUUCUCAUCAAAGGAACUGUAUAACUCUUGAAAAUACAAACACAACAAGGCCAGUUGCUAAACCCUCAAAAUGUCUGUUCAAAAUAAAGAGGCUGCCAUGAUCCAUUAUAUGUUCUUAAUGAGCCCUUACCUCUGUUUGAAACUCUUUUUCUCCUUGAUGUGAAUCAGAGGCCAGCACCUUUAUAGCUGCUACUCCUCCAGAAGGCAUUGUAGCUUUAUAUACCGGACCAAAAGCCCCUUGUCCCAGUAUGUUAGUGAAGUUUUGGGUAGCUUUCUGAAUAUCCCUGAAAAGCAAAGUGAUGAUAUACCGCAUUAUAUUGAAUUCAAUACUUUCUGUGUUACACCAAAAACUUCAGAAGUUCUAUAUCUAGUAACCAUUCAGCCCUGUACAAAUCAGAGGGGAGCUGCACUACAGCUUAUUUCUAGGUCUACUCUAUAUAGGUUGAGUUACUCCUUCAGACUAAGAAAUUGUCUAACAUGACAUAACUUUGGUAUACCAUUAAAGAAUAUCAAGCUUGUCUAUAAUUUGGGAAUCUACUCACUUGUAAGCAUAUCUAGGUAUGCCUGAAGCAGAAGGAGCAGAAGUGAACCGAUCUUUACUGUGAUUACUCCACCAAGAAACCUGAGAUUUUUUCUGAGGGAACCCUGACGCCUUAACAGCCACAGAAUUUGCAACAGGCGCACUAAAAUCAAUGCUUGUACCCAAACCAUUUAUGCGUAUAGGAUGCGUAGCAACACUACGUUCAUUAGAGCACCGCCGGAGAUGAUCAUGCUUCUUGUACCACCUUAGGCCGAAAAAUACAAGUGUAGCUAUCAAGAUACCAAGGGCCAAACCAACACAGAUGCCAAUAAUAACUAAAUCGCUUUUAUGAACCAUUCUUUGGUCUCUUAUAACAUUCAGGCAAUGAAAACAUCUUGCAGGAGAACAGCACGCCAAGCCCGUCGCCCAACAAGGAACCGAAUUUCACACAAGUCGGAACACCUUUUCAUGGAAGAAUCAAAGAACACAGCAAGUCAAAAUAUGAAGCAUAAAUAACACUGCGAACAUAUAACAUGAUCUUCAGUGGGAAAAUAAACCUCUUUGAAUCACUUGCCAAUAUGUUUCUCAGCUCAGAAUGCCUUAAUUCUUCUUAUGCUACUAAUACACUCUUAGAUGCCAAAUUAUUCAUUUACAGAUCACAUGAUCUCCAGGCUGAAGCAUUAUUGAACAUCCACAUUUAAAAAUAUUAUCCAGAUUUUCAAAUAGCAGAAAGCCCAAGUUUCAAACUUUUAACAUCAAACACUUUCGUUAAAGCUCCAAUAGUAGCCACGCCCAUUAAAAGAACAGAAUUGAGGACGCAAACACAUCUAAAACACAGCCAAAGAAAAAAAAAAUCAAAUGAAUCAUUACGAAGAACUACAUACCUUAUCAGCCGAAAGCAAAAACAAAACCCACAAGACUGAUUAUAUGAUCAGUCAACUUCUGUGCGCCAACCCAGAAGCUAUAUUAACUUGAACUGUUGAUUCGCAAUGACCCCAGUUCAAGAAAAGAAGUUUAGAAACUGUAAAGAUAUUAAAAAAAGAAAAAGAAUAAAGACAGAAAGAGUCUGAGUUGGAGGCUCGCUCGGACGAGUAAAAGGCAAAAUAAAUAAAGAAACGCGGUUGGUUGGUCUUAGUGUCCUAAUUUUUUCUAUGAAGGGCACAGCCGGUGAAUUUCGGUCAUUUGGAUUUUAGUAAAGAGUAAAACUUAGACGCAUCCGCCACUCCUAUUUUUUUUGUUUUUUUUUCCCUUAAUAUUUUUAAGUAAUGAUACUUUGAUAUGAUCGUAUCCAUAAUUUUUGUAUAAUUAAAUUAAUUACCCAGGCUUUCACCUAUGCUAUGUGACCUUUUGUAGGAUCAAGAAGUUUUACUUAUGAAGCCUGCUGGCUCUCAAUCUCAUGCUCCAAACCUCUAUUGAAAUGACUAAAGUUAAUUGUUCGGAAGUUGAUUUGGUCGACAAAAGAUUUGACUUCGGAAAGAUUAUUUAAAAAGUCCUUUUGAUAUGGGGCAUUUUUAUCUCAGUUAUAUAUUAAACCAUUGAAUACAUAAAACACAAAAUUCAACAACUGCGUACAAUAAUGGCAUCCUUUAUGUAUCAUUCUUCUUUUCAUUUUUUGUUGGUUGAGAAAUUUCAAAAAAAAAAUGUUAGACUUACUUCACAUUUCAUAAAAGUAAUAUUUUGAUAAAUUAGUAGAGGAUUUGGUAGCUCUUUGCCGGCUGAACCCUUGAAUAAUAAUUCUAUAAGAUCUCAACAAAAUACAAUAUUAUAAGAAAGGGAAUAUAUAGGUAUGAGUUAUUUUUCAUUUUGCAAACUUCAUGAGGAUGAGGAUUUUGUUUAUUAAUUAAAAUGAGAUAGAACAAAGUUUGGGCAGACAUAAUUAGCUUGCUAACUAGAUAAUAAUUCAUUCAUAAAAAUAACCAAAAUGGAAAACAACGCCCAAAACAAAUAUAAAAAAGGCACAACAAGAGAUAAAACAAAUAUUUGAUCUUGAUGAACUGCAACACUCGAAAACUCCUCCACAAGCAUCAUGCAUACAUGAACAAGAACAAAGCACACACAAACAAUUGCAGUUGCAUCAAAAUAUGUAAUAGUUUAGAAUUAUUUUUUCUUCACUUGUACACAAAAGAAGAUCUAUAAUUAACUCUAGGCUAUAAUUCAUAAGAGUAACACCACACUUGAAUAUUGUUAAUUAACACCAAUUAAUCGAUCAUUGUCACAUGUUAUCUAACAUCAUGCAUCAAUAUCUCAUUAAUAUUGUGAACGUUAAUUCUAUAUAGCACCAACUAAUUAGUGAUUCAUUGAAUAUCAUCAUCUUGAGAUAUAAUGGGAUAAAGGUUAACAUGGAUGCUACAACUAAACUAGAAGAUCAUAUUACAGGUUUGGGUUUAGUAAUUAGAGACUCAUUUGGAAAGUUCGUAGCCGCUACUAUGCAACAAUCCAAGUUUUACGGAGAUGUUAUGUACGCCGAAGCUGAAGCUGCUAGAUUGAGGAUGGAAAUUGCAGAGCAAGUGGAUUGCCUUCCUUUGAUACUUGAAACAGAUGCCCAAGAGAAGGGUAGUAGAACUGAAUUUUUUUCGAUAAUCUCUAAAAUUCAAGACAAGCUAAAACGUUUAAAGAUAAUCAAGUUCCGACAUGUUGUAAGAAAUUGUAAUGGUUUUGCUCAUUCUUUAGCAAAGUUAGCUCUUGAAAAUGUGGAACCUAUUUACUGGAUGAGCAAUGUCCUAAAACAAUUUUUGUACCUAUUUAAUGAGUUCUCUCAACGAAAGGUUUACUUUCGUUUCAAUAUAUAUAUAUAUACACACACACACACAAUAAGUGAAAUAGUUCCAAUGACUAAUGAAUGAAUGAACAAUGCAGUCACAGAAUCAGACUAAUUAGUACCUAUAAAUAUUAGGAAAAUUAUCAAUCAUAUACCUUUGGUUUACUUCAUUAUCAAAUUUAUUACAAUAUUUUUAGGGUAUAUCAGUCGUUCACUCUAAGUUGACAAAAUGUAUUUAUCAUCCACCAAGCCGUUAGUUGCUGUUUAAAUAUGAUAAUAUCAGAUGAGUAAUAUUAUUUUUUUAUAUAAUAUAAGUGAUAAGGAUAUAUAAGUGAUAAUAAAAGAUUUUAAGGGUAUACAAGUGAUAAUUUUUAAGGGUAAAAUCAUCAAUUCACUAUAGUUCCGUUAACUUUCAAACAACAGUUAACAUUUUAGUAGUCAGUAGAUAAUUUUUAUCAAUUUAAAAUAAAUAAUUGAUACAUUCAUAAAAUUUUAUAAUAUUUUUAAUAAAAACACAAAUUUGAUGUACACGAAUGAAUGAUAAAUAUUAGGGUUCCUCUAUGAUGCUGUAAUUUUUUUACAGCAUUAAUAAUAUUUUUAAUUGUGCACCAUUGGAUUUAAUCAAUGGUACACAAUAUUUGUAGGCAAAAAUAAUAAAAAAAUAAUGGUAAACGGUUAACAAACGUGUUAGGGUGGAGAAGUUUGUAAAAUAACUAUUACCACCCUUAGAGUUUGAAAUAAUUUCACUUAAAUAGCAUAUUUUAUUUAAAAUUAUUUUUCAAUCCCCCUUUAAAUUUGAAAUGUGAUAAUCUUUUUUAAAUAAAUCUUCCAAAAUCUAUUUCCAUUAAGUAUAAAAUAUAAUGGUAGGUUAUUUAACACAAAUCAAAUAAAUAUGUUGCAAUUACAAAAUUUAUACAUGAUAUAACACUAAUAAAUAACACAACUAAGUACAUAUACUUAAGUAAAUGUUAUAGUUACAUCAAUAAACUCAUUGUUGAGAUUGCUUGCAACAUAAAAAUUACUUGAUCACACAUGUUUUAAUAAAAUUUAAUAUCGUAUAUUAAAAUACUCAUUAUUUUAUAUAAUACUAAGGGUCAUUAUAUAAUUGAUCAUGAAGUAUGUAUUAUUUUUAAUACCCNNNNNNNNNNNNNNNNNNNNNNNNNNNNNNNNNNNNNNNNNNNNNNNNNNNNNNNNNNNNNNNNNNNNNNNNNNNNNNNNNNNNNNNNNNNNNNNNNNNNNNNNNNNNNNNNNNNNNNNNNNNNNNNNNNNNNNNNNNNNNNNNNNNNNNNNNNNNNNNNNNNNNNNNNNNNNNNNNNNNNNNNNNNNNNNNNNNNNNNNNNNNNNNNNNNNNNNNNNNNNNNNNNNNNNNNNNNNNNNNNNNNNNNNNNNNNNNNNNNNNNNNNNNNNNNNNNNNNNNNNNNNNNNNNNNNNNNNNNNNNNNNNNNNNNNNNNNNNNNNNNNNNNNNNNNNNNNNNNNNNNNNNNNNNNNNNNNNNNNNNNNNNNNNNNNNNNNNNNNNNNNNNNNNNNNNNNNNAAUAAAUAAAAUAUUGCCUUCAAUAAUAUUUACGUGGGAACAAAAGUGAAAGAAAAUCAUUUAUAUUUUUAGAUUUUUUAUUGACAUGGUAGAAAAUUAUCCGAGCCUUAUAAAAUUUAACUUUCACAAGCUUGUUUUCAUUUUAUUUUCAAAUGUCACUUUGUUAAUUUCAUAAAAGUUAAAUCUAACACAUAUUCCUAAUUAACUUUAGUUUAUGAAUCAUGAAAGAUUAUUUUAUUGUUAUUCUUUGAUAGUAAUUAUAAAAUUUUUAUGCUACGAAGUGUCAUUACUUUUAUUAUGAUAAUUAAUAGUGACAAUAAAUAAAAUAUUGCCUCCAAUAAUAUUUAAGUGGGAAAAAAAAGUGAGAAAAUCAUUUAUAUUUUUAGAUUUUUAUUGACAUGGUAGGAAAUUAUCUCAGCCUUAUAAAAUUUAACUUUCACAAGCUUGUUUUUAUUUUAUUUUCAAAUGUCACUUUGUUAAUUUCAUAAAAGUUAAAUCUAACACAUAUUCCUAAUUAACUUUAGUUUAUGAAUCAUGAAAGAUUAUUUUAUUGUUAUUCUUUGAUAGUAAUUAUAAAAUUUAUAUGCUACGAAGAGUCAUUACUUUUAUUAUGAUAAUUAAUAGUGACAAUAAAUAAAUAUUACAUCAAAUAAUAUUUAAUGGACAAAAUGAGGAAAACAAUCAUUGUAUGUUUUUAUAUUUCCAUUAUAAAGAUAUGGUUUGUGAUCCUUUAACUUAAAAUUUUGGUACAAUAUUUGAGCCACUAAUAUCUCAAGUCUAAUGGUUGAUAUUGAAAGUCAAAGCGCCAUUUCAUAAUGUUAUAUCCUCCACCAUUGAAUUGCAUGAAAUAAAAUAGUUUAAUUUUUUGAUUAAAAUUUAAAUCAAAAUAUUUCUCACUCUAUAGUUAUAUAGACAUAUAUAUUUUUCAAUAAUAAUUGGUGAAUAAAAUAUUUCUCAUUUGUGGUGACUCAUAUAGUAUUAUUAAGAAAUUGUAAUGGUUUUGCUCAUUCUUUAGCAAAGUUAGCUCUUGAAAAUGUGGAACCUAUUUACUGGAUGGGCAAUGUCCUAAAACAAUUUUUGUACCUAUUUAAUGAGUUCUCUCAACGAAAUGUUUACUUUCGUUUCAAUAUAUAUAUAUAUAUAUACACACACACACAAUAAGUGAAAUAGUUCCAAUGACUAAUGAAUGAAUGAACAAUGCAGUCACAGAAUCAGACUAAUUAGUACCUAUAAAUAUUAGGAAAAUUAUCAAUCAUAUACCUUUGGUUUACUUCAUUAUCAAAUUUACUACAAUAUUUUUAGGGUAUAUCAGUCGUUCACUCUAAGUUGACAAAAUGUAUUUAUCAUCCACCAAGCCGUUAGUUGCUGUUUAAAUAUGAUAAUAUCAGAUGAGUAAUAUUAUUUUUUUAUAUAAUAUAAGUGAUAAUUUAAGGAUAUAUAAGUGAUAAUAAAAGAUUUUAAGGGUAUACAAGUGAUAAUUUUUAAGGGUAAAAUCAUCAAUUCACUAUAGUUCCGUUAACUUUCAAACAGCAGUUAACAUUUUAGUAGUCAGUAGAUAAUUUUUAUCAAUUUAAAAUAAAUAAUUGAUACAUUCAUAAAAUUUUAUAAUAUUUUUAAUAAAAACACAAAUUUGAUGUACACGAAUGAAUGAUAAAUAUUAAGAGGGCUUAUCGCAUUCAAUAUAAGCUAUUUCAACAAGAAGUCGGUUUACUAAGGCUGUGCCAACUGCCGAGUGCCAAGGAGUUGAAAAAUUUAUUCGAACGAACCACGUCGUUACAACUUACAAGCUCUGUACUCUUGCUCUGCAAAAGAAAAGAAAAUUACGGUUUAGGGGUUUUGUAAGAAAUAUCAAACAACGAAAAAAAAUGGCUGCUUCAGCUAAAUUCUCUCUCACACCCUCCUUCAAAAUCCCAGAAUCCUAUCCCCCUAAAACCCUAGUAUCCAAUUUCCUAACGAUCCCUUCAAAAUCUUACCUCAAAUUCAACCCCUAUUUCAAACCCAGCUCUCUCUCUCACCUCACCACCAUACCCAAACCCAAAUUCAAAUCUGGAACCCAGUUUCACAACCGGAUGAUCCGCUGCCUUUUCACCGGGAUCGUCGAAGAAAUGGGGGAAAUCGAGCAGCUGGGUGCUUCCAACGACGGCGGAUUCGUCAUGAAAAUACGUGCGAAAACUGUUCUUGAAGGCGUCCACUUAGGCGACAGCAUUGCUGUUAAUGGAACGUGUCUCACUGUUACGGAAUUUGGUACCCAAUUGGAAGAUUUUACCGUUGGAUUAUCGCCUGAGACUUUGAGAAAGACUUCUUUGAUUGAAUUGCAACCGGGUUCGUUGGUGAAUUUGGAGAGGGCAGUACAGCCGACGAGUCGUAUGGGCGGGCAUUUUGUGCAGGGGCAUGUGGAUGGCACGGGGGUGAUUGUGUCAAUGGAGCCUGAAGAGGAUUCUUUGUGGAUUAAAGUGAAAACAGAUAAAAGUUUAUUGAAGUAUAUAGUCCCUAAAGGGUUUAUAGCCAUCGAUGGUACUAGUUUAACGGUGGUGGAUGUGUUUGAUGAGGAGGAGUGUUUUAACUUCAUGCUUGUGGCGUAUACGCAGCAGAAAGUUGUUAUUCCUUUGAAGAAAGUGGGGCAAAAAGUGAACCUGGAGGUUGAUAUAUUAGGCAAGUAUGUGGAGAGGCUGCUCAGUAGUGGGUUUGUGGACUCUUUCAAAGCUUCUUUGUGAUGGUUCAAGGUACUCAAAUGUGGUUUUUAAGACAUUGCAGGUUUUUUCUUUAAACAUUUUUCUCGUUUUGCUUAAGUUCUGGUGGCAGAGUGGUGAUCUGCGGGAAAGCUGCUGCUGAUGUUAUUUGCUACUGCAAUGGUGGCUUUGAAUGUUAAUUUUGGGCUUAGCAAAUUUCAGAUUAUUGUGCUAAACUGAAAAUAAUGUGGCAGAACUGUAAUACUACUAUUUGGAACAUUCUUAUCAUAGACCUUAAGUAGUUAGGUUCAGAUAUUGUUGAGUUGGCGUUGAUACAAGGGUUUAUUUAGUUGAUUAGGAAUGUACUUUGACUUGCCUAACAAAUCUGAUAGAGCAAAGAUAUUGUUAUAAAUUAACUUUUAUCUACUUGCAAUUAAUUGUAUGUUGUUUGUAUGUUUCUCCGAAAUAUUCUUUAGUUAAUGCAUUUUAGAAGUGGCUGCAAUGGAUUGAAAAUCUUCUGUUUUGUAUAUGAAUUCUGAUGUGUUAUGUCAACCGUUGAUUAAUUUCAAAAGUACGGCAUUAUCAUAGAUCUCAGCUUUUAGUCUCGAACCAUUAAUUUAGUUUGGGAUAGCGGCCCCGUGGAGAUGAAGCAUUUUUCUUUCUAUUGAGGCAAGCAGAUGCUGAGAUUUUAAGUUAAAUAAAAAUCAAAAUAAGUGUUUUUAAUGUCUUAGGUGGAGUGAGGUGAGGUUUUUUGUUUGAUCACUAGAUGGUUUCCUUAAUGAAGCCUAGCUUUCAAUUAUGACAGCUUAUUGUUCUUUUUGUAGUAUAAUUAAUUCACCUGUCAUUCUUGUUUCUGUUCUGCAUUCUGAUAGCUAUUGGUGGAACUAGGGACUGCAAAACCAUCAAUAAGGCAGUGGCAGUUGUUUUUGUAUUAGCACAUUUUCAUUUUUUUCUGUCAUUUGAAGGAAGGAGCGCGCUACAAGAUUGGUAAAAUUCUCAUAAAUGGCAUCUCUUGUAGCUACCUGGCGCAGCGUGGAUGCAUGUCAUAUUGUGAGUGACCUUUUGCAUGGAGAUUAAACUCUAGAUAUUGGACUCUUUUUCUUCGUACCCUGGACAUGACAAGGUAGAUGGUAGAGUGUAUUCGUCUUCCUUCCUGAUGACCAUAUGAUUUCAUGCCCUUGUGAUGAAAACUAAGGAUUACAUUACGGCAAUUUAAGCUCACUGAUGUCUGACAGAGACUGCAAUUGUAAUAUUAGUUGCUGUACUGUAUAGCUUUGACAUGAACGGAAGUUUAGAACCGAACUUAAAAUUUGUAGUUAAACCCUGCAAUCCACUAGAGCACUGGAGCUGUAGUUGAGGAUUGUAUUUAUGCAAUGGAUCCAUCCCUUCCGUGUUGUUACUGCUUUUCCAUUUAGGUUUUAUGCAUUCGAAUCAAGAUUAUUGCUUUGUCCUUGUUAAGAAAUUUUAAUUUUACACUUGAUUGUAACUUUGGGUCUGGUUUGUGCUUAAGUAGUCAAUGAUUGUUGAGAGAUUAUGCAUUUUUUUUUUCAAUAUCUAGUGAGAUAACUGUUGGUGACUUGGUCACAGAAGUGCGCCUAUAAUUUGACAGAAGUGCGCUUGUAAUUUGAUAAAAUCUGAAUUUGUCACGAACUAUUUUCAAUUUUGCUUCUCAAGAUAAUAAGAAGAAGAAUUAAAGAUAUUUUGAGCAUACAUAUCCUAUCCCGUGGCAAAUAAAUCUUUGGAAUGUAGCAUCAGUACAUGCAAGAAACAUAGAAUCAGAACUGAAUGCGGACAUGUGUAUUCAGGAUUUAAUAAGCCUCACCUACUCCAUGCCUGAGUUAAGAUGAGAUCAUCUUUAGUUUGGUUUAAGCCUGUAACUAAGGGUAGGUAAAUUCGGGUUUUGAUUGAGUUUGAAUCAAUUGGAUUGGAUAUUGGGUUGAUCGAGUUGGGAAAAAGGUCAUUGGAACUCAACCCAAACAUGUAAUUCGAUCCAAUCAGGUUAGGAAUAAGACAUCAAUAAACUUUGUUUCUUCUUCUUACGGACUUUCUCAACUCUUCUUUUGUUUCUUGUUCUCAUCUAGAAAUUGCAUUCAAUUUCAUAAACUUUGGUGAUUGCAAUUGCACCGUGAUUUGACACAUCAAUAUAUCUAACAAUAAACCCCUUUAUAAUUAUUUAAUAUAAUAUAGCAAUAUACCAUGGAAAAUUCGGGUUAGAGGAACUUGGUAAUGAUGGCUGUCGGUCGGGGUGGAGCAACUUGCAGAAGCAGUCGCGAUGGCCGGUGAAGCAAGUGGCAACAAAUCGUGUCGGCACGUCGCAUACUCGUGGUGGCUUGGCUUCACGCGAUUGCAUUUGUGAGUUGGCAAUACUACCGAGUACCAACUGCGGUGCUUUUCGGAUUGGAUUAGAUUGGGUAAAAUAGCAGGUUAUGUUAUCUAAUCCGAUCCAAAUCUAAAUUUUUUUGAAUCAAUUCGGCUUGGAUUGAAUUGAAUUGGAUUAUUUGCAUAUCUCUAUCUGUAAUUUGUCGAACUUAUAAAUUUUUUGGUGCAAACACUACUUCUCGAUUUAUUCUAUUAUUUAUUUAUUUAGUAAAAAAGGUAAAUGGCGGGCAAGCCUGCUGGCUCUCAAUCUCAUGCUCCAAACCUCUAUUAAAAUGACUAAAGUACCCAUGUAAGAUUGAGUAGUGGCCAUUAUAAUAUAUUCGAUCUUGGAAUAGAUUGAAUAUGUAACGGGAAAAAAAAAAAAAGGGAUCUGAAGGUUGUUGUUUAAUUAAAGUUGAAAAUAUAUCAAAAUACUUUUCUUGCUCGGAAGUUGAUUUGGUCGACAAAGGAUUUGACUUCGGAAAGAUUAUUUAAAAAAUCCUUUUGAUAUGGGCCAUUUUUCUCUCAAUUAUUUAUUAAACCAUUGAAUACAUAAAACACAAAAUUCAACAACGGCGUAC